rnacentral:lncRNA from 1 species
AACUUCUUCAUUUUAAUUUCUCCUUUAUAAAUAUACACUUUCAAAAUUUUGAGUCGAAAAUGGUUGAAUAUGGAGUGUAGUGCCUCUAGAAACGCAUCUUCUUAGUUCAAUUAUGAAAAAAAAAACCAUUUUCUUUUUCUAUCAUUUUAAGUGUAACUUUUCUAAUUAGCUUUUCUGCAUCAUUUUUCACAUUUCUGCAUGCAUAUUUUCUUUUCAUGUUUAGAAUAGGUUGGGGGGUAGACUGUCGUUUAAAAAAAAUUGUGUGAUUUUUUUUAAUAUUGGAUGACAUGAUGACUUUCAAAUUUUAGUAUUUGUAUUAUCUUUAGGCUUAAGUGAUGUUAUGCUAUGUUUGCUAUUCUAUAUGUUGAUGUCGGAGACAAAUAUGAGUUACUCGAAGGAAUGCACAUGUCAUAAUAAAUACCAAGUGAGUUUUUGAGCUUGUCAUUUUUCUUGGAGAAUAACCCAUUUUGCCCAUUCUUCACACAGUUUAUCAGUUUAUUAUUUUAUAUACGAUCUCUAGAUUUUUUUUGAGUCAACCCUCUGAAAAGAAAAAAAAAUUGUAAGAUAAAAAAAAUGUGUGUUGCUACAUCUGGAGGCCCAUCUAACUAGUAGAUAUGGAAGAUUAUUUAGAGCCCUAAAAGACGAUGGAAAGGUUAUCUUUGAUCCGUUUGAGCCUUUCUAGCCAACCCUAUUAUAAAGUAUCCAUAUUUAACACCUUUGAGCCUUAAAAAAAAACAAAAAAAAAAGUUUUUCUUUGUCAACUUAUCAUCUUGACCCACUCCGAUUUGGAGUAUUACUCGAUGUCUUAUAAGUUCCAUCAACUAUUUAUGUUUGAGAAAAAUAUAAAUAAUUAUUUUGUUCAGUGACGUUGUGCAAAAUAAAAAAAACAAAAAAAAAAUUGUUAUUUAAAAAAAACAAUAAUAGGUGAAAUCCACCUUGUAAUUUCCAAAAGAUUUCUACUUUUUCUCAAACAUAAAUUUUGUUUUUUCCUAUUUUUCUUCAUUUGUUAGCCAUGUCCUUAGCCUACAUUACAUCCUAAUAAAAAUCCUUCCUGAUUUUAGGGAGCUAUAGUAUGAAGUAAAAGCUAGUUAUAUGGGCUAAAAAGACGUAGUGGUGCAUUAAAAUAUAUAUAUAUAUAUAUAUAAAAUAAAUAAAUUGGGUUGACUAGUAUUUUUGUUUGACUUAAGAUCGUAUUAUUUCUAAGCUGUGGGCAUAUUUCUUUCAUCUUGGUGAGAGUAUGUGAUAUCACUUCUUUAUUAUUUUUUCUCAAAUUUAGCAUUCAUUAAAGUGACUAUUUUUAUUGGGUUUAAUUUCCUUGUGAGAGUGUUACUACUUCCAGUGAGAUUUUAAGGUUUGACACGUCAUUCUUGAAAGUAGCCGUGACAAAGUCUACUGGGCUGAUUCAUGUGGAUGGUUGAUGUGGGUGUGAUGUUUCUGUAAAUUAGAGAUAAUGCUUAUACUUUUAUUUGAUUGCUAUCAUUAGUAUGAUUAAAUAAACACUAGUGUUAAAAAAAAUCAUUUUGGGUUUGAAUUUUUUUUUCUAUUUAUUUGCUAGGGACUAACAAUAAGCUGAUUGGGGAGUAUGUUGAGUGUUAGAAAAUGUAUAUUUAUAAAGGAGAAAAUCGUCAUUUUACAUUUCAAGUCUUACUAACACUUCUACUUUUAUGUAUUUUAAUCUCUUGUAAUUUAAUUAUGUGUAUCUUAUUUUAAUUAAGUAUUUUAUGUAUUUUAGGGGCAUCAUGGUCAUUUUACAAUGAACGAGAGAUCAGACAACAAAACGGACAUCACUUUUGAACUCAGGACAGUCGAAAACCUUAGGAGGAGCAUAAAAGGAAAAAUGGCAUUGUUCACAUGUACGGUACUGUCUACGUUACUGUUCAUGACAUUGUUCACAUAGACGGAUCGAUGGCGUGGCAUUGACUGAUGAGGUAUCACGAUCCUGUUGGACUAAAAUUCUUAUGUACUGUUGAUCGGUGACGUGGCAUCAUGUUAGUGGACAAAACAAUCGCGCGUACGGUACAUGCAUAUACACAGGAUUAUUUUCAACCAAACCGCGUCACUAUUUAAACCACGUGGUCAAAUUGUGUUACUAUUCAAACCGCGUGGUCAAACCGCGUAUUGUUGACUGAUGAUGUGGCGCAAUCCUGAGCGUCCGAAAUGUUUUUGAUCCGAUGGUCAUGAUUUACUCAAUGUAUCUAUAAAAAGGGGGCCUUCCCCCCCUAAUUUGGCAUCCCUGAAUCCAUUUUUGGGCUCCAUUUUCUGUAAUUCCUUCUCUAUCUUGUAUUUUUUUAUGUAUUUUAAUAAAUUUUUAUUUUGCCCCUAGUUCAAUUAUGAGUAGCUAAUUUUCUUUCAAGAUACCCAAGCGCUUCAAUUAUUAUAAUUUCCACUUUAAUUUAAUUCUUCCAUUUCAAUUUAAAUUUUAGGAUAUUCCAAAUCAUUUUCACCACAAACCAAAUCACCCAAUUCGAAAAUUAAUUCUACAUAUAAUUAAAAUCCACCUCCUCGUGGGAUCGACACUCAUCACCAUUAAUCUAUUCUACAAUAGAUUCGUGCACUUACGAGUUCAAUAAAAUUUGCACAACACUUUUGACCCAUUGUCAAGCUUACAAUUGACUCGAUGCAUCUUUGUUCUUCGCAAGUAACUCAGGGUUUGUUCGGCAUUGUAUUAGUUUAAAGGAAUCCAUUCCUAAGUAGAUUUCCAAAUAAUCAACUUUGUAGAUAAUUUACUAAUUUGGUUGAUAAAUCUAUUUAUUAGAGAAUCACUAAUUAAAAAAAUAAUAAUUUAUGGUUGGUAAAGUGUCUUGUACACUAAAAUGACCAAAAUAGACCUUUUUAUAAAUUAUUUUUAUAGAUAGUUUUAAAAAUUUAUUUGUAAGUAUGUUAUUUAAUUAAAAAUUAUUUUAUUUAUUUUUAUUAUAAAAAAUAGUAUCCAAAUUAAUAUUGAUAAAAAAAAUUAUAAAUUUUUUAGAGUUCAGCCACCAACAUCACCUUUGAAUACAUACUUUGUAUUAGGGGAGACAAUCUUGUUAUUUUUCAAAAUUUUAGAAAUUGAAGAGGGGUUUUAAAGACAAUUGAAAUGAUAAAUGGGUUAUUAAAAAUAAAAAGGGAAAUUAUUAUUUUAUUAAAUCCAGGAGGGGUCAAACUAGCACUUUGGUAAUGAUUAAUAUUUAAAAUAAUAGUUAUUAGUUAUACUGUAAAAAUAAUUAGUUGUUCAAAGAAUUAGUUAAACGUUUAGUAAAAUUUAUUUUAAAAAGUACUGUGAGUUUUAAAAGCAGUUAUAUGUGUUUAGUAAAUUUUAAAUAAAAUUAUUUUGAUAAAAUUAUUUACAUUUAUAACAUUUAAAAUUUUACUAAACCAUUCUAUUCAUAAUUUCCCUAUUAAUUUGAGUUAAUGAAAACCCAAAACCUAAUAAAACCUGAGAGGUUAGAUAAGCAUAAUCACUUUGUGAUAAUACUUUACUUGAUUAAAAUUAGGUAGUGCUUUUUUUCCCCACUCCGAAAUAAAUAUCGAUAUAAUGUAUGCCAUUUAUACGGUUCUAAGAGAAAUAAUAAAUAUGUUACAAGGAAUCAAAUCCAAAAUUUCACCUUCAUACUAGAAAAGUAAAAUGAUUUGUUGCCCUUAAUGAUUGAUUUCAUUUAAUAAUAAAAGGGAUUUUAUAAGAAAAACUUAAAAUUAAGGAAAAUGUUAUAAAUACCCUAAAACCCGCUAAAAUAUUACAGAAAUUGCAUUUCGUUCUUGAAUUGUUGUCGAGUUCGUAAAUAGCCCAUGUAAUCACAUAUAUUUGCAUAUUAGCCAUAGUAAAGUUCAGGACUAUUUGAAUGCUAUGGGCUCUCCUAAGUAAGUAGACAUAUUUUGAUGAUACAAAGCUUAACAACAAAACCAUGAUGACUUGUAAGCCUAAGGUAGAUAGUAGCUACUUGUUAAUUGAGUCUAGACUCUUACAUGCGCAAGAGGUCACAAACGUAGAUGGGCUAUUAUUUGUAUUUUAUUAUUCUAAAUAUCAGUAGAGCUUUUAUUAUUAAAUUAAAACUCUAUUGAUAUUUAGAAUUAGAAAUCAAUUGAGACUCUAAUUAAUCAUUCCGUUAUAGCAAAACUCGAAGUUUUACCCACACUUAAUACAUGAGGAAUAUUUAUUAUACCUCAAAUGAUGAGAAGAUAAGCAGACUCCUUCACAACUUUAUUGAAAGGGGAAUCGAGUUCCAGCAAUGAUUAGAACUCAAACACAUCUUGAGUGCAAGGUUUCCAAUGGGCUAUGAGCCCAUUGGCCUUAAGGCCACAUAAGCUAUGAUAUUUAUUCAUAUUCCCUUAAUAUAUAAGCUUAAUAAACCAAGGAAAAUAAAUAAAUAAAUAAUCAAUAAAGUUAACACUUGGUAGAAACGUUAGAAUGUGGGGGGAGUUUAGAUGAGUUUUAAAAUAUGAAGGGAUUUUGAUUUUUUUUUUCAAAACAAAGUGGGGUUUGGUUCAUUUUUCUAUUUUUAUCUCUCAUUUCUAACAAGCGUAUAGAUAUUUUCACCUCGUUAAUUUUGUAAAUCCAACCAACAUUUAGAAAAUAAUUAUAAAAAGAUUACAUUAUUUUUUAAAAAAUAUAAAUUAACAAAAAAAUUUGACAAUUAAUCAACUAAAUCCUUCUUUACUUUAUUUUACUUAGGCUUCUUUGACCAUCUUUAACUAGUAAAGUUACUUUAAGAUAAGUUUCAUUUGAGUAUUUUACUCUUAUAACGUAGAAUGACCAAAUUACUGCGGGAAACAUGAACUCUUAUAUAGAAUAUUUGAUGUACUUAAUUUUAUUUUAUUAAAUCUCCGAACUACUUUAUUUUAAAUUUUUAUAAUAAUAAUAAUAAUAAUAAUAAUGUGUACUUAUCGUGAUUAUUUCUUGAAAGUGAGGCCAAAUUACAAAAAUUGUGAGAUUAAAUUCAGUGGGUCAUGCAAAAGACUAUAUGAACAUAAUUGGCCAUGAUAUGCUUUUAUUGGUAAGAGAAAUCCUAAAAUCACAAGACUACCAUACAUAAAAUAAAAAAAAAUGGUAAGAAAUCAAAACCUCAUCAAACUUGGAAUAAAGUUUAACCGUAUGUUAACCUUAAAAAGAAAUAACAACAAACAAAAGUUCAACCUUAAGUUGUACCAAAAAGAAAGAAAUAACAAAAGGACAAAAGGAUCAUGUAAUAUAUCAACCAAUAAACGAAAAUAAAAUCGCAUCAGAAGUUAAACAAAAAUUUAAAGUAGCAUCAAUCGAUUUGAUCUCUUACCGUAUAUGGAAUUGUAUGAGCUGUCUUUAGGGUUUUGUUUUAGCCUAUAUAUUUCAGACAUGAAACAACCCAAUUGUCGUACAGUGACAAUUCAGAAAUCAAGAAGUAUUUUACAUUAAACAAAAUAAACAAUCAAACAACAAAAACUGAAAUCAUGAUGCAAAAGAGUAUUCUGAUUAUUAUGGCGGCCAUCGUAGCAACCCUCAGCUCUGUUGCUUAUGCUACACCGGGCAUUGCCACUUUCUAUACAACCUAUACUCGUGAGUAUAUUAAUUAAAAUGUUUUAGAAAUUAACAUUUUCCAUUGUUGUCAAAAUGUGAAUUAAUUUUUUACAGAGUUCUUCACUUGAUCAUUGUGCGUGCCACACUGACGAUGAUAUCUAUUCUUUUUUUUUUCUUUUUUCCUUUUAGUCGGUUACAAUUAAUCUACAGAUAUUCUAUAAUCUAGGUUUUACUAGGACUCUAAAAAUAUAUAUCUAUAGUACAUCCCAAGAAUCUACUAAGCCUAGAAGGCUAGAACAUAAAUUUACUCUUAAUAAUAUUAUGGAGAAAUCUAUUUUUAUACUUCACUUUUUUUUUUUUUGUAAAUGUUCAUUUAGUUCUUAUAUUUUUCAUAAAAGUCUGUUUAGCCUUUAUAUUAUAGAAAAUAUCUCAAUACAUCCUUGUUGUUAUAUAUAUAUUCCUACCCUUAGUUUCUCAUUCUUUUUACAAUAAUAUCCUUACAACAAUAUAUUUGAGGAUAUUAAUGAAAAGAAAAACUGUUGAUUUAUCAAAUUAGCUUUAAAAAUAAAACAAAAAAUUACUGAAAAUUUGUAUGCUAUUAUUUUACUUCAAGAAUUAAUUUGGUAAAGUAAUUUUUUAUAAAUAAUUAUUAGUAAGAUUGUUGCAAAGACAUUAAACAUUACUUUAAUAAGUUGAUAUUAAUUUAUUUAUAAAUAAUUGUUAGCAAAAUUAUCAUAAGGAUACAAAGAAUACUAGUUCUUUCAUAUUGAUAUCUAUUGUUAAUUUGCUAAUUAAUUUUUUUAUAUAUAAGUCAAUCAAUGUCAAGAAUAUUGCUACAAGCAUAUUACUGUAAAAGAAAAGAAAAAGUAAGGGAAAAAAUAUGAUAUAUUUAACAACAUAGAUGUCUUGAGGUAAUUUUUAAUUAAAGUAAAAUAUAAGAAUUAAAUGAGUAUUUACCUUUUCCUUCUUCUCGUGAUUUAGCCUAAGAAAAAUGGUUUUUGGCAAGACAAUUGUAAUUGGUUUUAUGUUUAUAAGUAGGGGGUGGAUCCAACUCAUGACUUGUUGGGCUCAAGCCUUUGUUGGAGAAAAUAAAUUCUAAAAUUUAAAGGAAUAAUUAAUAUAGUUUCUAAUUACCCCUCAUUAAAUCUAUUAAAAUUGUCUCCACUAAAUCUAUAAAAACAGCCUCUAUAAACUCAUAAAUCCAUAAAAUACUUUAAAAAUUAUAAAAACCUACACUCUAAUUAAAAAAAUGAAAACCAACAGUAAUCCAUAUGGAUUAUUUUACUAUUAUUUAAUUUAGUCUGGUUAAAUCUCCUCCGUAAACUCAUUAACCUAUAUAAUUUCAACUUUUACAUCUAGUUGACGUGUGAUUUAGCCCCCAAUAAAUUAGAAUAUUCUUUCUCAAGUUUGGACUUCCCCACUUUAUACAAAUCUAUAUAAACUCUUUACAAGUUUACAACAUUGUAAAAGCGUACAUUUUGUAAAUAGGCGCAACAAAUUAAGAGUGGAUGUUUGUACUUGAGAAUGAUUAACGUUUAUAAAUGAUGUAUAUGUCCCCCUAUUGAUUAUGUAAUAUAUUCUGUUUUUGUGAUUCAUGUUUUUCAGCUUCCGCAUGCUUUGGAAAUAAUGGCCAAGGUGUGAUGAUAGCGGCAGCAGGUGAUGCUUUAUGGGAUAAUGGCGCCGUGUGCGGAAAAAUGUUCAAUGUUAAGUGCACAGGAGCACGAAACGCAGUGCCACAUCCAUGCACGGGUGAAAGUGUAACCGUGAAGAUUGUUGAUCACUGUCCAGGCUGCCCAUCCACCAUUGAUCUCUCCAGAGAAGCCUUCACUCAGAUUGCUAAUCCGGUUGCAGGAAUUAUCAACAUCGAUUACCACCAGUAAGUAUUAAAAAUUAUGAAUUUGGAUUUAGUGCUGAGAACUUUUGAUCUAAAACUUUUAUAAUAAUGUGAUAUGUAAUUAUUGGAUAAGAAAUAUGGCAUAAUUAUCUUAACUGUACACGCUAUAUAUAAAUGUGUUUAGGUAUUAAUAAUGACAAAAUCUUAAACGUGACAGAAUAUUAUAAAAAGUUUAGUUGCAGCUCAGCUCAACGUAUACAUUCAAGAAAUUGUCUAGGUAUUAGUAAUUACAAAGUAAUUAAUUGAUUGUUAACUUUUCAUUGUUUUAAUUUGCAGGGUUUAAGACUUUGCAUGACGUGAUAUGUACCUACGCAAUUGGUUAUAUAAUCAUUAAUUAAUGUUAGUGAUAUUCGAUCUUGGAACAAAAAUAAUAUGUAAACUUAUCAAAAAUAAAUAAUAUAUAAAAAAAUUGUUUCUUCAAUAAUGCAUGAUUAGCCGUUGUCCUUUCUAUAUGACUUUUGAAUGCCUGUGAUUGUGAAAUAUUGAAAGAAUAUUUGCAUAUCAAUACCCUGUAAUUUCUCAGUGUCUUAAGAUGCGUUUGGCACAUUGUACUAUAUUGAAUUAGGUUGUAUUCUAUUACAUUAUAUUAAAUUAUAAUAUAAUACUAUAUUUGAUGUAAUAUGGACUGUAUCAUAUCAAAUAACUUUUUAUUUUAGCAUUGAUAUUAAAUUAAUUUAACUUAAUGCUUAAAAAAUAAUUUUCACUGGGCGGCCACCAAAAGUCACCGUUGGAAGUCGCGUGUAUUAGAAUUCUUAUUAUCGUGGUGCUACACGAUGGUGCAACUAUUAAUGAAAAAUAAAUUUUUAUUUGCCAUAAAUCUAUGUUCAAAGUCUCAAUUUUCAAAUUUUUGAUCGUAAAAUUUAAGGCAAACAAAAGCUUUUUUGCCUAUAAUAAUUGCACUAUUGCAUAGCUCGAAAAUGAGAAUUCUAAUGGUACUAAAUUUUAAUAUAAAACAUGAUAUUAUGCAGCAACCAGCUGCCGUUGAACUGUUACUGACAAUCUAUCAGCACCAAUAGCAGCAUAUUUGAGUUUUUAAUUUUAUUUAAUAUUAUAUAUUUUUAUUUAAUUUUUAUUAAAUAAUUAAAGAAUUAAAAAAAACUAAUGUGAACAAUGCAGCAUUACAUAAACUCGGGUAUCCCUCUCAUUUGUUUAAUGCCAUAUUGUUUACAUUAUGGUGUAAUCUAUUAUACGCCAUAAUGUGAACAUGGAUAUUUACUAAACAUGAGAUUGCAUUGUAUUAGUAAUGCAAUUGCAUAUAAUGUGGUAUGCCAAACACACCCUAAAAGCAUUUAUUAAUUAAAAGAAAUUAAUCAAUUUCAAUUUCUUUACCAUAAAGAUUACAUUAAUAAAUUUUAAGUUCCUAUGCAUACUAUAGAACUUAAAAUUAGGAGUGGUAAAAUUCUCAACAAGUUUUGAGGUUUUAUGAAGCCCCAAUCUAAAGAGGAUAAAUUUUGAUGAGUUUCUGGAAAUAAAAGAAAAAUUUUGAUGAGUUUCUGGAACUUAAAAUCUUGUUUGCUAUGACAAGUAGGGUUUGUCUUGUUUUCUAUGACAAGUAGGGUCUUUUCUUUAUUCCAGAGUUGUUUAUCAUUUUGAAUCCUUUGAAGCAUCAAUGACGUCCACAACCACAAGUUCGCAAUCAGCCAUGGAUGAGAUUUAUGCUUCUUUGUCUAUUGAAGAAGAAGAUGAGGGGGGUCUCAUAGUAGAGGGAGAUGAUGUUGAAGAUAGGAGGGAUGGCAAGAUUGACUUCCGAUUUUGUUUGGUAGGAAGAUUCCUGACGGACAAGGUCAUUAAUUUUCCAGCUAUGAAAAAUACAAUGGCAGCACUCUGGCGCCCAAGGAAAGGGAUUUGUAUCAAAGAUUUGACUCCAACGUUAUUCCUAUUUCAAUUCUUCCAUGGGAUUGAUAUUCAGAGAGUGAUUGACUCAGGGCCUUGGACUUUUGAUCAACACAUCCUCAUUGCUAAGAGGCUGGGUGAAUCAGAACAACCCCAAAUGGUACCAUUAUAUCAUACAUCGUUUUGGAUUCAAGUCUAUAACUUACCAAUUGGUUUUCUUUCUGAGAAGGUGUUGUAGAACAUCGGAAACUACAUUGGGGAAUUCCAGGCCUCGGAUGAAAAUAAUUUAAUGGGGGUUUGGAGGAAUUAUAUGAGGAUAAGGGUAUCUCUUGAUGUUCGAAAGCCGCUUAAACGCCAUAUGAAACUGAAGAAAACUGGGAGUGAGUGGAUGUGGAUAGAUUUCAAGUACGAGCGUCUUCAUGUAUUUUGUUUUAUAUGUGGGUUGCUUGGCCACACUGAGAAACAAUGUCCAUCUCUUUAUGACUGUCACGCAAGCACCAUUACAAAGCCAUAUGGGCAAUGGAUGAAGGCUCCCACAAGAAGGAAUAACAUGAAUUCUGGUGAGAAAUGGUUGCGUUCGGUUCCACCGGAGGUGGGAGAAGGAAAAUAUGGAAAUUGCAUGGAAUCCGCGAAUGAUAUGUCAAUUGAUUCCAUGCAUCCCAUAAAAUCAGGAAUUGCAAACUUACGUAGCAAUGAGGGAGGCGAGAAGGAUGGGUCAGUGCCGCUUAACAAGGCAUCCCACUUAUUGGUGCCAGCCAAGAGUCAACUUACUAGCAAAGGAAAAGAAGUAAUUGGUACUGGGCCUACAAAGGAGGGUGAGGAGGAUUUUGAGUUGGGCCUUGUAGUUGUUGAGAAUAAGAGAAGAAGAUCUAAGCUAGAACUGGAAGAGAAUUCGGAACUUCAAAGUGGUACCUCGCAUAUGAUGGAGAUAGGUUUGUUUCAAAAAAACGGAUUAGCGGUGGGCUCUGUCAAUCGGGCCCACCGAACCCAAUGAGUAUCCUUAGCUGGAACUGCCAUGGGCUGGGCCAACCACGGACAGUUCAGGUUUUAACAGAUUUGGUCAAGCACAAAAAACCUUCUUUUGUCUUUCUUAUGGAAACUCUCUGCUAUAGAAAUCAGUUAGAGUUUCUUAAAAAUAAAUUGGAUUUUGAAAAUAUGUUUGUGGUGGAUCGGGUGGGCCGUAGUGGAGGAUUGGCCUUACUAUGGGAUGGCAAAUACGAAGCUCACCUAAUCAAAUAUGCAAAGAACUUUGUGGAUAUCGAAAUAAGAGGAGCGAGUAUGGGUCACUGGCGUUUGACAGGUUACUAUGGGUAUCCGGAGUCAACUCGAAGACGUGAGUCUUGGGAUCUUCUUCGUUACCUUGCUACCAUUUCAUCUCUGCCAUGGAUUUGCUUAGGGGAUUUCAGCGACCUACUUUUUAAUUAUGAGAAAAGAGGGAGUCGAGCUCAGCCCAAUUGGAAGUUGCGUGGCUUUCGUGAGGCUGUGGCUGAUGCUAGUUUGGUGGAUUUGGGGAUGGCGGGAUAUCCAUUCACUUGGGAGAGGUCGCGUGGUACAGAGGAGUGGGUUGAGGAACGGUUAGAUAGGGCCCUUGCAAAUACGGCCUGGUGUAAUUUAUUCCCACAAGCAAAGGUUUGGAGUUUGAAGGCAACUUGCUCUGAUCACUUACCCAUUUUCGUGGACUAGAAUCCCUCGGGCUUCAUUCAUCGUCACACACGGUUUAGGUUUGAAAAUGUGUGGCUUCGAGAAUCAGAUUGUGAGGAUGUUGUUCAAAGAAGUUGGAGCUCUUCUGCUGGUUUUCCAAUUCAGCAUAAAUUAGCUGUAUGUGGAGGGGAUUUAUGGAUUUGGGGGGGAAAGUUAUUUCGGGAUUUCCGUAAACGUAUUGUGGACUGCAAACAACAAAUAGCAAUUUUGCGUGGAAGAAGAGAUCAAGAAGGGCUGGAAGCUUUUACAGAAGUCAGGAAGCAGUACAACGAAUUACUUCACAGCCAUGAAGUCUAUUGGAAACAGAGAGCCAAGUCUCUUUGGCUUAAAGAGAGGGAUAUGAACUCUCGAUUUUUCCAUACUACAGCUUCCAAGAAAAAGAAGAAAAACAUGAUUGAAAAGUUGCGGAAUCAACAGGGUAUGUGGUGUUCAAACCCUUCUGAGAUUGAUGCUUUGAUUGUUGAUUAUUUUCAAACUUUAUUUUCUUCGGAGAGUUGUAUAUGUGAACCAGUAUUAGCUUGUGUUGAGGCUAGUAUCACUGUACUACAUAACCAAUUAUUGUUAGAACCUUUCACGACUCCAGAUGUAAAAGAGGCCUUAUUUAGUAUGCAUCCAGACAAAUCUUCGGGACCGGAUGGCAUGAACCCAGCAUUUUAUCAGAAAUUUUGGCAUGUAGUGGGGAAGGAUGUUACUGACGCUUGUCUUAGUUACAUCACGAAUCGAGCUUUCCCAGAAAAAUUUAAUGACACUUUGAUUGUAUUGAUUCCUAAGCAUAUGCAGCCUGAACAACUGACAGAUAUGCGUCCCAUUGCAUUAUGUAAUGUUUUAUAUAAAAUUGUUGCCAAAAUGCUUGCAAACAGAAUGAAGCUUGUUCUUCGUGAAGUUAUUUCAGAUUCCCAGAGUGCAUUUGUUCCGGGCAGAGCAAUCACCGACAACAUUCUUAUAUCAACUGAAAUUAUUCAUUACUUAAAGAGGAAAAAACAAGGAAAGGCUGGGACAGCUGCGCUUAAGAUUGACAUGUCUAAAGCGUAUGAUCGAGUUGAGUGGGAUUUUUUAAAGCUCAUGAUGUUGCGGAUGGGCUUUGAUGAGGGUUGGGUCGAGCUUGUUAUGAUGUGUGUUUCUACUGUGAGAUAUAAGGUGCUUAGAAAUGGGGUAGAAGUGGGUCCAAUUGUUCCAAGUCGAGGUCUCCGCCAAGGGGAUCCGUUAUCGCCCUACUUAUUCAUCAUUUGUGCUGAGGGGCUAAGUUCUUUAAUUCGUAAUCGUGAAAGGGCAGGAUUAAUUCACGGAGUCAAAGUCGCCAGGAGGGCCCCUACGGUAUCCCACUUAUUUUUUGCUGAUGACUGCUUCCUUUUCUUUAAGGCUCACCACAAUGAAGCCAGAAUUAUGAAAAGUCUAUUGGCUAUUUAUGGUGCUGCUUCGGGACAGAAGGUGAAUUUGAAUAAAUCAUCAAUCUCUUUCAGUGCAAAUAUGGGCGAGGAGUCUAUACGCCAGGUGUGUGGCAUUCUGGAAGUUCCUGCCACAGACAAUCACGGAACUUAUUUGGGGCUGUCCUCACAGAUCAACAGGAAGAAGAGCGUGGUAUUUAAUUUUAUUAAAGAGAGAGUUUGGUAGCAGCUUCAAGGAUGGAGCCAGAAAUUUUUGAGUAGGGCGGGGAAGGAAAUCAUGCUGAAAACAGUAGCCCAAGCUGUUCCAAAUUAUGCUAUGAACAUAUAUUUACUGCCUCUGGACAUGUGUAAAGAACUGGAAAUUAUGAUGAAUUCCUAUUGGUGGGGAUCUACGAGGACAGGAGGUAAAGGUAUUCAUUGGCUUAGAUGGGACAAAAUGUGUAAGCCAAAGUCUGUUGGGGGUAUUGGUUUCAAAAGAAUACAUGACUUUAAUAUAGCCAUGCUUGGGAAACAAUCUUGGAGACUUAUGACUAAUCCGUUUUCUCUUGUAGCUAGGAUCCUCAAGGCCCGAUAUCAUCCUAAGGUUUCUUUUGCCGAUGCUUCUGUUGGUUUUAACCCCAGUUAUACAUGGAGGUCAAUUAUGGCUGCCAAGGAUGUUGUAGUGAAUGGUAGUCGCAUACAAAUUGGGAAUGGGCAGCAGGUUCAGCUUUCUAAAGACCCCUGGCUUCCUGAUGCAAACAAUGGCUUUAUCACAUCGAAGCUGGAUGAGAGUCUUGCAACAGCGACGGUGGAUAGUCUUAUGGUGCCAGGGCAACGAAGUUGGGAUUAUGAUUUGAUUGCGGAUGUCUUCAAUUCAAGGGACGCUGCCCUCAUUUUGCAGGUGCCUCUCAGUGUUAGACAAGAUGAAGAUUGCUGGUAUUGGCUUGCAGAUCCUAAAGGGCAAUUUACAGUUAGAAGUUGUUAUAAUCUGCUGAAUUUUGAAGCUAAUGUGUCAAGCAGUAGGGUGUGGAAACGCUUAUAGGGGCUGGAGGUUCCAGGUAAGGUUGAGCAUUUCUUUUGGCGUGCAUUGAUGAAUGUAUUACCAACAGCGGAUAACUUGCGGCCUCGAAAGGUUGAGGUACCCCCUCUUUGCCCCAUCUGUAAUGCUGAAAAUGAGUCUGUGUUUCAUUGUUUAGUGGAGUGUUUGUUUGCCCAAUCUUGCUGGUUGUUGUCUUCUAUUGGCACUUUUGGGAGCUGUUCUUCUUUGAUUGAUUGGUUUGAGCAAGUAUUUACCCGCUGCUGUAAAGACGAUUGUAAUUUAGCUGUGAUGUUGUGUUGGAGGCUUUGGUUUAAUCGGAAUGAUAAGGUGUGGAAUAAUCAUGGUAGCCGCGCUCAAAGUCUAGUAAAUGCUGCUGAUCAUUGUCUUUUCCAAUGGCAAGAGGCUAAAAGGAGAACUUUCACUAUUGCAGAGGAUGUUCCGCUGGGACACGGCUCGGUGUGUUGGGGCAAGCCUCCUGUAGGUUGGCUGAAGUGUAAUGUGGAUGCAGGGGUAUUUAGAUCUCAGGGGAGAGUCAGCUUUGGAGGGGUUAUUAGAGACUCUGGUGGUGAUUUUAUUGCAGCAAAGUGUCAGAGUUUCCCUGGUUCUUUUCACCCUCGCGAGGCUGAAGCGUUGGCUGUCCGAGAAGCGCUUAGUUGGAUAAAGCAUUUGCAGUUAUCUACAAUUAUUAUUGAGAUAGAUUGCUUAAAUGUGUAUUCUGCUUUACUUUCUCAAUCAGCUAGUUCUAAUGGAUUUGGUUUAAUUAUUGCGAAUUGUAGAGCUAUAGCUCAAGUAAUUGGAGAAGUGAGAUUCUCUUUUGUGCGUCGAUCUGCGAACGCCGCUGCCCACAGUGUAGCUAGGGUGGGGGGUUCUAUGUCAGGUCCUAGAGAGUGGAGGGUUGUUCCACAUCUAUGGUUAUGUCCUUUGUUGACUGAUUCUCUUAUUUAAUGAAAUUUCCAUUCAUCAAAAAAAAAAAAAAAAGAAAAAUCAUCCUCAAAAUGAUCCCUAAAAUUGAUUGUUAAGAAAUGAAAAUAUAGUAAGAACAUAAAUUGAGCCAGUCAUGAAUGAAUUUGUAUACUUAUUAAAAGAUCAUUACAAGAUUCAAUAAUCUUGUACUUAUAUAGCUACGAAAUGUAGUUAAUACGUUAGAUUCAUACAUUUGGGAUACAAAUUAUUUAUCCCAACUACAUCAGUGUAGUAUUACUCUAAAAACUAGGUAAGCUUAUGCCAGGGGAUUGUGAUUCCAUUAAUUCUUUAUAAUUACCUAAACUCUUUCAAUUGGAAACUCCCAUGCACAGUCCAUUUUAUUGUUCUGUAAAUAAGCCCUAAUAGGAAUCCAAUAAUCUAGUUACAAAUCUAGUCCACAAUAAUCAUAUUUUUGGAUCAAUUGCUUGGGCCUGCAUGUUAAAAAUUUGACCAGAUGGGUUUGAAAGCACUCAAUACCUAACCGAUUGAUCGCAUACUUUACUAUUUAUGUCCUUUUUAUUAUAUGACGAGGCCUAGUGGUGUAAUUGAUAAUUGAUUUUACAUUUUUUUUUCAUCGAUCCAUGCCACAUUAAUUCGCAUAGACAAGUUUGUAUUGAACUCGACUACUCCAGAGAAAGAUUGCUCUUUUUUGUUUUAUUGUUCAUGUAAUUUUCUUGAGACAUGUUAUCAACUGUUUAUAGGGUUUUAAAAGAAAUACUAAACUGGAAGUCAACAAAUUCAUUGCAUAAUUAGGGGUGAGUAUUAAUUAGUUCAAUUUGGUUUUGUAAUCGAACCGAAUUGAAAAUAAUGGGUUCAAUAAAUUAUAAAAUUGAAUCAAAAUUCAGUUUGGUUCGGUUCAAUUAGGUUUUAUAUUUUUUUGGUUUAAGAAAUUUGAUAUUUUUGCUUUUGUAUUAACUAAAAUUUUGACUUUUCAUAUAAAUUUGAUCCUUUUAUUUUGUUCAAUUCAAUUCUAAUGACUAACCAUUUAUGCUUUAUUCGAAAAUACUAAUAUAAAAUAAAAUUUUAAUGAGCAAAUGUUAUUAUAUAUAUAAAUACUUUUUUUUAUUUUAACACAGUAAAUGAUAUAUUUCCAAUCUAGUUUAGUUUAAAUCGAAAAUUCUAUCGGUCUAUAGUUUUUGAACCAUUUGUUUCUUAUUAAAUCGAACCAAACCAAUGUAAUUUCGUUCAAUUUAGAAAGAAUCGAAUUCCAUGCCCAUCCAUAAAAUCCUAAAUUAAUUCUAAUGGGAUUCUAACGCCGACCAUUAUCGUCGUUUCGAUUAUCAUAUGUAGGUCUAGAAUUCUAAGUCAAAGGUAUUUUGGUCUAAACCCAUGAUUUUUUUAUAAGAGUCCAUCAACAACGAUAUUGUCUUUGUGGGAUACUUGGUUUCUUUGCUUUUUUUUUUCAACAAAUAAUUAGUUUUUGGAUAAGAAUAUAUAGUAACUGGACAAUAUAUUAUACUGAACAUAAAUUCAUUUUUAAAAGUAUGUUAGUUAAGGGGUUUCUUAAAUCUAUGCUUUGCAGUGCAAGUACCCUUGAGAAUUAAGGGCCACUUUAAGAUUGUGGUGGCUGAUAAAACUACUUUUGUUAUGCCGAUGAAAUAAGUUGUUCAUUAAAAAAAUAAUUUAGUGUUUAUAAACUGUGCGAUUGCGACUGUCUUGAGUUUGAAAAGCAAGGUACAUGUGUUUGGUUAAUUUUUUUAUUAUGUAAUGACAAAAAUAAAAAUUUAAAUUGUCUUUUAUUUAUGCAUUAAGGUUAUAAUAAGAAUUUUAAAAUAGUACAAUGGCUUAUUUAAUAAUUUGCUUAUAAAAUGCAAUCCCUACAUGCUUCUAAAAACUACUGUAAAAAUGAAGAAACUUAUUAAAUAAGCAACUUUUAAAAAAAUUUAAACAAGUUGCUUAUAGCAUUUUAAUCUCAAUCCCAAUUAGGAUUAGACAAUAGCGGUACCAAGAAUUAGAUAUAGGAGGGGUUAAGUUAGAGUACAACACAAUUUAAUUUUUUUUAAAAACAUUUAUCAAAAUGAUAAUUUUCAUUCAAUAGGUGAUGUUGUUUAAACUCCAUAAUGGCUUACUUGUAACUUUUGUUUACUAUCUAUCAAUAACAAUACUUAGUCAUAGGGUAAGGUUUUCUAAAUUAAUGUUUCAUUAUUUAUCCUAUGAUGUAGAUUGAACCAUUACUUUAUUAGAAUUUAAAAUCUUAAAGAAUUUUAAUUUUUAUUCUAAUAUGAACUUACAGAUAGUAAACAAAAGAGAAAUAGUGAUGGAUUUAGUCAUGGUGAUAAAUUCUUUAACAAUUGAAAGAGAAAUAAGAGAAAUAAAUUAUUAUAAAUUAUCUUAAUUCGAUAAGGGAUUUAACAAAUAAGAGAAAGAUAAAAGAAACUAAGAGAAGAAAACCAUUGUAUUUUAAAAUUUUCAUAAACUUGGAAAUGACUUUUAGGAUAAUUACUAAUAAAUAGAUCAUUAAAACAAAAAAUCAUUUCAUUUUUUUUUAAAGUGAGCAGGUGCUUUAGCCCCUCUUUGCACCUUUGGCACCACCCUUGACGGUAGCAAUCGAACCUGGGAAAAUAUACAUUAGUAUAAAGAGAAGACAUUUCUUUUCUAUUAUAUUAGUAUUAGAUUAGUAUUAAUCAGCAAUUCCGAUUCAGCGAUUCAUUUCUUCUUGUUGGCACCAGCCCUACAUUUCAAGAUUGUUUGUUAAAUGUCUAAAAUCUGAAAUUUUAUAACUUUCAGACAUUUUCUAAAAUUUGUUUGUUUGUUUUUUCGAACUUAUAUCUAAUUUUCAGACAUUUACAUCUGAAUAGAAAAAGUAAACUUUUGUUAUAUUUAUCUAAAUGAAAAAAGGUUUGAAUGACAAUUAAAUAUUAUAUUCUAAAAAUAUAUCUGUAAAAUAACUUAUUUCCUAAACUAUAAAAUUUAAUCCUCUUUUUUUAUUUUAAUUUAUAAGGACAUAAAUGUCAAAUGACCAAAUUUAAGAUUUUUUUAUUGUAAAAACAAACAAGAUGUCACUUGUAUUUAAAUAUUUAAAAAAGAAAAAUAAACAUGUCAUUUAAAUUUUUGUAUUGAGACACAUUCACACUUUAGAAAAAUUCAGACUCAUUUAGAUUUCGGAUAAAAAAAUAAAGGCUACCUUCGUCUUAAUGGACCGAAGAGAAAGUGGGCUGCAUAGGAAGAAGAUUGUACCAUGAAACUACAACACCAAGAUCCCAAAUUUAUUAUGACUCUAAACGCUACCGUAUGAUAAAAUUGGGAGUCAUCAACUCAUCAUCACCGAUGAAGCCGAAUUUUCUUAAAGAAACAAAUGUGGAGGACGAUAAUUAGCGAACAUUUUCUUGACUGACUUUGAUAAAGUAGUUCAUGCAUGUGCCAAGCACAAUUUUAAAUUUUUGACCAAUUAAGCUUGAGUUCUUGUGUCCUGGUACGCGGCGAAACAUGUGCUGGAAAUCAUGAGCCUUGAAUUGAUUGAUAUAGAACUCAUUGUAUAAUCUCAAAGUUGCAUGCCCUACGCCAGCUAAUCUGUCAAUAAUUAUUGUGUUAAAAAUCAAAGCAAAUGGAAAACUAUCCCCAUCUCACAAAUUGGACCCAUUUGGGGUUUGGUGAUCAAUCUCAGAAUUACAGGUUCGUUUUUUUUUUUUUUUUGUAACAUUGAAUGAUGUGAGUUCCAACUUAACGCCAACCUGAAAGGUCAAGAAAGAGAUCAUCUUUUGCUUUCAUUGCCCGUAUUACUAGGACAAAUUAUACUGCAUCAGCGCCAAUCGUUACGACAUGAUUUUAUUUUAAGAACACUAAAAUAUAAAUAUCUCAAAUUUCCUUCUCUGUUUCUAAUAAUUUAUUAGUACUUUUUUUUUUGUCUUUUAUAUUACUGUUUCAGUUGUAUUUUGUUUUGCGUUCUUGUAACAUUGGCACAGACAUCUGAUCCAUUGUUGCAGUCCUACUUUUUUUUUUUUUUUACCUAAUUACAACAGUUGCUUUACUGUGUCGCCAUGAAUGAAUUGAACAAAUAAAGAACCCUUGCAUUGGCGUUUGAGUCAAAGAUUUGAACAAAUAGUGAGUCUACGUUUAAAUUAUUGUCCUAUUUAAAAUUUAAACCUAUUGUCAAACUGACAAUAGAUCCGAGAAGAAAUUUUGAUUGGGAUGAAGGGAAUCCAGGGCCAAAUCUGUUGGCAAGAUCGUGCCCAUCAAACAUAAAAGUUGGCUAUUUUAUUUUUUAUUUUACGUUUAAAUUAUUGUCAAUAAUUUAUCUUGAGCAGUUGAGUGCUCUUAAGGAUUUUUUUUAGUAAUUCUCGGUCUGUUUAAUUAAUCUCGUUUAGUUUAUCUUGGACUCAAUCUCUCUCCAAAAUGGUACACGCGAACGUAAUAUUAUUGAAUUAAUUAUUUUAUUGAUUUUUAGUUAAAUCAACUCUUUCUUCUAUCAAUUUCAUGUGACUAAUUUUAUUUUUACCUUUUAACAAUUAUUGGGAGGAAAUUUUCUAUUCUACUAUUUAAAAUUGAUGGACCUAUUGUCAGUUUUCUAAUUCUACCACCAAAGUUUCUCGUGUAAUUCUGCGAAUUCUGUAAACUGCAAUGACAACAAUUUCAUCAUAAUCAAAUUUCAAUCGAUUACGUUCGUUCAUCUUUGCAUUCGUGUAUACUUCAUGGCAAUCCUUUUGACUGACUGAAUUCUAUCACUCCUUAACAAGAUAUAAGCACCCGAUGAUGUAAAACAAACCAAGUACAGAUUGUCAACAUGCUCCGAUCUUUAAUUGACAAGGUAAUUUGAAUAGUACCAAUUCUGCAGCCACACUGAUAUUGCAAAAGAAACCUCCUCAACUUAAUAAAUAUAUCUUAUUAAAAUAAAUUUUUUCAUUAUGCCAAUAAAUGGUGUUUGGGGAGAAACAGAAAAAUUGUAAUAGCAAGCCACAUGUCAAUGAGGCACCAUGACUUUAAGUGAUCAUUGUACGCACCCGAGCUAUCCGACCUACACCAUAAACUUAAUAUCUGAGGUACCCGACCUACGCCAUAAACCUGAGGUACCUGACUUACACAGUAAACUCAGUACCCAAGGUAUCCAACAGAUUAAAUGCGAAACGAUCAAGGAAAAGUUUCUAAAAAGUUAGUCACGAGUAGGGAUGGCAAAAAUCCCCACGGGGACGGAUACCCUCGGGAAUUUUCCUCAUUUGGGGAGGGUAUGGGGAUAAUUUCAUACCCAAUUUCUUAUUCGGGGAAGGGACGAGGAAAUUUUUUUACUCAAUUUCUUAUUCGGGGAGGGGACGGGGAUGAGGUGGAAUCCCCAUCCCCUACCCAUUUCCCCAUUUUAAUUUUUAAUUUAAUUUUUAUUUUUUAAAAUUACUAGUAAAUAAAUAAUAAAAUUUGAAUUAUAAAAUUAUAAGUAUUGGUAAAAAUAAAAAAUAUCAAAAUAUUUAUAUUAUUAAACUUUUAGGCUUAAUUAACUAAUUAAAGUCCUAAAUUUUUAUUUAGGAUAUUAAAAAGACCGGACAGAUUCUAUUAGCCCAAAACUUUUGUUUUAAUUUUAAUAUUCAUUAAAUAUUUUAAACUUAAAUCUAUUUUUUAUUUAUUUUUAGAUGUUAUAAUUGCCCACAGCAAAUCACAAUUUUAAUAUCUAAUCUAAUCUAAUAUUUGUUCUUGAUUUGCUUCGACUUAACUAUUGUGCUGUAAAGGGAAUAGUCCACAUUUAUAAAGUGCCCACGCCACCAUUGAAAAGUUAAUUUUGAAUCUAAAUUUGAUUUUAUUUGUAACAAUUUUAUAUUAGACUAUUAAUUUGUUCAUGAUAGUUUGUAUCCCUUUCAUGCUGUGUUACUUAUUAAUUUAAUGUAUGUGACUUUUGUAAUGGAUAUUAAUGUAAGAUACAUUUCGAACUUUACUUUUAUUUAAAUUUUUUUAUUUUAAUAUGAUUAACUCAAAAUCAAAAACAAAAAAAAAAUAUAUUAGUUAUUCGGGGAUCGGAGACCCUCGGGGAUCCUCUGUUAUUAUUCGGGGAGGGGAUGUAGAUUCUCUUAAAUAAUUUUGACGGGGAUGAGGAGGGGACGGGAACAUACGUAAAAUAUCAGGGAUGGGUACGAGGAGAUUGGUCCCCUCCCUUUCCCUCCCCAUUGCCAUCCCUAGUCACGAGAGACGUCUUCAUCGCCUAAAAAGUAAUAUUUGAUUUUGUGAAAAUCAAAUGUCAGAAUAUCAUGUUGAAAAAGUGGCGAUAGCCGACUGUCACCUCUAUUAAAAAGUGAAGGAUGCUAAACCAAGGACAGUGGUCCCCAGCCACCUUGCCAGACAAUCUCUACUGAAGUAUCUUGUGUUAGAAAAUUAACAGUGAGAUAACAAUUUAAUACAGUAGCUAAUUUAAACAACAACUGGAAAUCACGAAUGAACAACUGAAAAAACAGCAGGGAAAAGAAAACCGAAAUAGAAAAAUAAACCCGAGGCCUGUAGCACAGUUUCCUUAAAAUAGAUUUACCACCUACUGUAGUGCUUUAGGUUUGCUGGGAACUGUUUUCUAGGAUACAACAGGUACGAAUUAUCAGUCAAACAUAGACUAAUAAUUCCGGCGAACCACAACAGUGUACAAACUUGAUCGAAAACAUAACGGUGCCUUUUUAUACACAUGUGAGGAUGUAACAGUAGCAUAAUAUUAAAUUUCCGAAUUCAAUAUAUACCAUUUAAUUGUUGUAACAUCCAAUUCAAUUUAAACAAUUCAAUACAGCCUAUUGAAUUCAAAAUUUGAAUUUGCAUAACAGCCCAAAAAUAAUUGCAAAGUUGUUACAAAUCCUUUGAAUUCAAAAAUUAAAAAAUGGUUAUAAAAAAUUUAAAAGGAAAUUAAAAACGUGCCAUGCAAGCUUGGGCUGACAUUCGCGUAUGCAUGACGCGCAGGCGCACACGAGUUCAACCAAAUCGGUUUUGGAUUCGCACACCCCCCCUUACGCACGCCCAUGUGGAGAGAGCCUCUAUCCUUAUAAUUCUUGCUCAUGCAUGGGUAAGUGUCUAUAUAUAAACACAAAUCCCUUGGCUUAUUUUUUUCUUGUGGGAUAAACCUCAUUUCCUUUCAAAUUUUCAACUUCAAGGGUGCACUUUGAGAGACAAUUUCUCAUUCACCCAAGUACCAUUUUGAGUAAAUAAAUAUACACUUUCGAAGUAUUCACGGAGUAGAACCCGAACUUCACAAGAUUUCCCGCUUUCGCUAAGUGGGACCCACUAAAAAAUGUGCCCUCAAAAUAGCAUAUUGAUAGUCUAUUUUUUCAACAUCUUGGACCACUCUCCAACGUAUGCCACAUGCCCAAAAGGAUAAGUUACGCCAUAAACGCCUUCUUGCUCCCCAAGUACGCUCCCAAUGACCUAAAAAUCAUAAAAAGAUAAGAAGGACAGCCAAUAACUAUUGGAAACACGCCAUGUGGCAAUCGAGGUACUUCAUAUAUAAACGCGCCCAGAUCCAAUCUCAUUAUUCUACAUCACACACACUCCACAAAAAGAAAGGCUAAGGUUCUUCAAACUUAAGCCAUUAUUUUCAGAGGGCUGGAAAGCUCUCACCAUAAAAAAAAGCUUGAGUUACUGAUUUGAGCGUCAGAGUGUUGACGUCGGGUCAUCCCGGCUCCACCUCUAACCUAUUUUUUAUUGUUUUGCAGGCUUAAAACUUAUCUAAGAGGACCUCCCUUUCAUAUUCUGACCUCUCGCUGCCAGCACCAGCCUCUCACCCUCCUUACCUUAUUUGAAUCUUAGAAACAACACACACAUCGACCUAGUAUGGUAUCCCAUUUUCCCUAAAAAAUAAAUCUAUUGUUCGAGACAGAUUUUUCCUUUCUCAUUUCCUCCAAAAUCUGUCUAAAACAAUUGGUGCUGUUUGUGGGGAAUGCACAAAAAGCCUCCACAACGAUUAUCAAACUAGUUGUUGUGUGUACUCCAAAAUAUAGCACCUGACGUACCUUCCAAAGCUUUAAUGGAAGACCCUACAAGGAUGGGAGAUGACAAUAGUGAUGAAGGUACGAUCCCAUAAAGAGUGAUGCGAAGCCCACAAGAAACUUUAAAAUCCACAAUUAAUUUGAAGUUUCAACUUCCCGAGAAAGUUCUAAAUAGAUUUAAGUGAAACAAAAAUCUUGACCCAAUAUUUAAGAAAAGAUGAAUCAGAGGUAUAAAGAAGGAUAUUGACGCCACACUCAAGAUGUAGAUGAAAAGGUGAAUGAUAAGUCUCUUUUAGAAUGCCACAAGAAUGCAAAUUGUUGAUAAGUUCACUAGUUCUCAAAAGAACCAAAGAAAAAAAUGAUCUUUCAAAUUUAAAAUAAUAUUCAUCUUUAAUUGUCUUACAUAGCAAGAUUGCUGAGUUUAAAUAGGCUAAUAGAAACCCAAGAUCCUAAAAAUACAAAUGGAAACAUUGAAACAACCCUCUAAGCAUAGGUUUGUCAAAGGAUGCUUCAAAAGUCUUCACCAACCCACCAUUAUUAAUGCUAGUCAUUGACAAACUUAAUGCUAACCUACCAUAAUUAAUGUUAGUCAUUAACAAACUUAAUGCUAGCCCACUAUCAUUGAUGGUAGACUUACCUAACAUAUUGACAAACUUGAAACAAAACAAAUAAAUGAAUUUGAAUAAACAAAGGAGUGGUUGGAAUUCCCAAGCAUGAACAAGCUAUAAUAAAUUGAUCAUAACACCUUCUAGAGAACUCCAAAUCCAGCUUUGUAAAUUGCAUUGGAAAGUUAACUUAAUUAUCUUUCCAAUGGUAUAUAGCUUACACAUUAGUUAUAACUCAAUCAAUACCAUUUUUAUUCUGAAUUUACCCUUUCUGCAUUUGACCCAAAUUGUGUAUUUGGCUGGCCAACAACUUGAAUAAUGCCCACAAUGCUUUGUCUUCUCUCCAAGCCCAAUCCAUUAUGUCUUGCAUCUUGAAUUGCAUUUUCAAUCCAUAUUUUCUCAAUUAUUCCAUUUAAAACAGCUUGCAUCUUUUUUGUUCUAGCUCUUGUAAUUGGGCCUCCAUGAAUGUGCAAAUGAUCACUUGAAACUUUAAUGAUAUUCUCUUGAUGUUCUCAUCAAGGAAAAUAACCCGGCUCAGAAAUCGACGAGUAUUCGCCAAGAUGAAGAACUCAUCUCUCACAAGCAUUUUGAAGAUCACACUCAUGCAAUUCUUAGGGCAGUGGGAUAUUGGGUAUCCAAAAAGUCACUUCCACCAGCGACACCAAAUACUCCACCAUAGCAAACAUUCCAACAAAUUAUGUUAAGAGCUGAGGUACAAGAGGCCAGUAGGCCAAAACGUGGGCCAUUGGGUACCCACUCUAAGUUUCACAUCGUGGGCUUCCAAGACGAAUGCUCCCGCAUCUUGCAAUUCCCACAGCAGCCAAGGUACUAAGAGUGUAAAAUGAGCCUAUGAGGAUCUUUGUGACAAGUUAAACAUAAAAAUGGCUUCUCAAAUAGUAGCGACACCGUCAGGUUCUCUUGAGAUACCCCUCGAGUUCGUGGAAAUAAUGGAGCACCUGGAAGCCCAAGCGAAGCUCUUUUUCGAAAGGUAAAACAUUACAAAUUUUUCAACACCAAUGACCUACCAUUCACCAUUCACCAUUCACUAUAGAGAUUCACAUGGCGGCUUUCCCGGAAGCUUUCACUAUGCAGCAGAUACCCCAUUAUUCGGGUACCACUAAUCUCUUGGAGCAUGUCGAGCUAUACCAUGACCAAAUGCUUAUCAAGGGUGUUGACGAGAAUGCCAUGUGUAGGAUGUUUACAUACACACUCACGGGCCCCGCGAAAUCAUGGUUUUGAUCGUUGAAGGCAGGUAGUAUAUCCUCCCUACACUAGUUGUUGUCUAAAUUCAUUAAAGAUUUUUCUUAUGCUUCCACUCAAGAUAGGGUAGCCUCUAAACAUGUUUUCAUCAAGCAAGGGAAAUCCGAACCUUUGGCGAAGUAUGUGAGUCGUUUCCACCAAGAAGUGCUGCGAACCGGAGCAUUUGGACACCAACACACAUUGAUAUACUUUGAGAAAAAUUUGUUGUUGGGCAAGUUAUGACAUUCUUUUCAAAAGAAACAUUUAUUUUCAUAUGGGGAGACCCAUUCUUGAGCCUUACAAUAGGUGGAGAUGGAUGAGAUAAGCUAUUUGAAGCGACAAUAAGACAAGGUCGAGAUCAUGAAAAGCAAAGAGAAGCCUAAGAAGACGGGAGCCCCAACACCAAGGGUACCUCAAGUACGAAUCCCGUCACAUGUUACCCUGCGUGGAAGAGGGUACAACGCUCCUGGUGUUUCUAAGGUACCCCACCAUCCUAGAUUGUCGCCGCCAAAACAACAAGAGCCACCACCGAAACCUCGGUACGAAUCUUACCAUCCGUUGAAUUGUUCCCUAGAGCAUAUCUUUUACCAGAUUCGAGAUAAUGGCCUACUCCGACCACCAAAGCCAAUGAAGAAGUACCCCAACAUGAAGCGCAAUCUAAAGUAUUGCGAGUUCCAUGAGGAUUUCAAUCACAGCACAUCCAAGUGUUUCAGUUUGCGGGAGGAGAUUGAAUAUUUGACUCUUAGUGGGUACCUUAAGAAGUUUGUUGUUGGCAUAAGAGAAGCUCGGAAGUCCAUGGAGCAAGAUAAGAGCAAGCACAUAAUUUAUAACAGUCUCAAAUGUGAGGCACCCCAAGGACCGAAGAAAGGCGUAUAUGUUCUGAUGAUUGCAGGCGAUCCUACUUGACAUGACUUAAAAGCGAUUUCUAACUCCCUUAAAAGUGAUUUCUAACUCCCAAGUAUAAAAAUAUCUUGUUAUAUUAUAACUCGGUGAGUUUGAGGUCGAUUCUCAAAGAAAUGAAUUAAUUUGUUUAUUUAAGUUUAUAAAAAAAAUACAAUUUAAUUUAAGAAAAACUAUGAAAUUGAAUCAGUUAGGGUUAUGGAUCCACUCCUAGUAAUAAAUACAAUUUAACAAAUUCUUUUUAUUUUAUUUCCCAAAAGAUUAAUUGUAUAUAUUAAAAUUAUUUUCCCAUUUAUUUUAUUAUGGAUUAAGAACUUAAUGUGCCAAAACUUAAUUUGUCUACAAUAAAUCAAAAUACCAUUUUACCAUACUUUAUACUAAAUUAAGAAUUCAUUAUGCCAAACUCCCUUAUUUGUCUACAAUAAAUCAAAAUUUCAAAUAUAAAAUAUAGAUAAAAUUAAAUAGAAAACAAUUUAAUUUAUAAAAUUAAAAAUAGAAUUUGAUUCAACCAUAUUUUUACUAAGAGUUUCACCUUCCCCUAACAACGAAUAUUUAGCUAAACAUUUUGAAAUAAAAGAAAUUAUUAAAAUUGAAAAACACAUAAUUAAAAAAAAUAGAAUUUGAAAAUUGAAAUAAAACUAAUUUUAUUGAUUGAAAAUAUAUUACAAAAAGAGAUGAGAAGAAGAAUUUGAGGGGAAAAAAGAUAAGAGAAGGUGUGGAGAGGUAUGUUCCCCCCUCUCUAUUCAUACUAAUACAUGGUUAAUUCACACCACUCAAAUAAAUAAAACUAAUUACAUUUUAACCUUGCAUUUGUUCCACUAAUAAAACAUAAACCUAACUUAAUCCACUCAAGCACAUCCAACACAUUCCACUAAAAAUUAUCAUACUUAACAUAGUAAAAACUUAUAAUUUCACAAUAACCAUAUUUACCAUGGUAAAAACUUAAAAAUUUACAACAAAGGUCUCAGAUCCUCUCCGACAAUGACAUAAUUUCUUGGACUUCUGAAAUCCUAAUUUCACAUUCGUACAUUUGUUUGGAGCCCUAAAUUACAUGAAAUUAUUAUUUUUACCUAAUAAACACACAAAAAUACACAAAAUCAAAUACUUAGAAAAAUAAUUAGAAAUUCAUAACAUGUUACACAAUUACAAAUAUAAAUUACAUUAAUAGCACAAAAUAACAUUUUACCCUUAAUAAACAUACAUUUUUUAACACUAAUCAGUACUCUAGAUGGCCAGUCCAGGAGGGCCAUUAAAAGUUAUGGUAGAUCGCCAUUGUUAACAGCCAACAUUAGUGGGGAAGUCAACUUCACUGGUCCGGGUGCACAUCAGGUACCCCACCAUCCCUCGUCGAUCCUUUUUAACAGAAAAAUAUGUUGAAGGUAUCUCAUACCCUCAUAAUGAUGCCUUAAUUAUCACACUAAAUGUUGCUACUGGCAAAGUGGCAAGGACAUUGGUAGAUACCGGCAGCUCCGUCGAUAUCAUUUUCAAAAGCACCUUGGAUCAACUAUUGAUUGGGUCACCAAAAAUCACUCCAUAUGCUACACCUCUUAUUAGAUUCGCCAGGUAUAUGGUCAUCCCUAAGGGAAUCAUCACACUGCCCGUUACACUUAGUAAAGUACCCCUACCGUGUAGUUCAUAUGAUUGAUUGUCUUAUUAUGGAUAGCUCUGGUGUCUAUAAUAUCAUUUUAGGAAGGCCAUUUUAACGAAAACUAAAACAGCGGUAUCCCUACAUCACCUUGGUAUGAAAAUUCCAACUGCCAUGGAUGUUGUCACUAUCAAAAGAGACCAGCAUACAACUCGGGAUUGCUAUGUUGUUGCCUCUAAGGAAAGCAAUCAGACUGCUUCUGACACUCAGUUGAAGGUGUACUUUACCAAAGACAGAUUAUCUACAUAUGGGAUAUUAGGGGUACCCAAUGACACUUACCCAAAAACCAUAGGUGAGAUUGAAGUACCUUUAGAUCCCCAAAUUCUAAAAGUGAAGAUGGGUAUCCCAAUUUAGAGAAGUUGGUCUUCAAGCCUCGCUUAGCCAUCAAAGCUCAAGUCAUUGCCAAUUUCUUGACCGAAGUCGCCAAUGACUCCGAGGGUGAGGGAAUCCUAGGUUACCCGAGCAAGACCAAACUAACAGUAGAAAAAGAACAACUUUAAGGAAUCAAUAUUGACGACUCUCCAAAUUCGUAUGGAAGUGGUGCAGGAGUAAUCAUUAUUGGCUCCAACAGAGAGAAGUCGUACUACUAAUCACUUUAUUUUGGAAUAAACUAGGGUACCUGACCUACCCCGAUCAUGACGAUCUAAUCAACAUCAAACCCAAUAAAAGGGCAGGCUAGUAGCUGUCUUGAUCAUUCUUUGUCCGGCAUAUUUGAUUCUGAGCAAAUGGCAGAUCAUGAGAUUUUCGACCAUCUCGUAUAAGGGUAGGCAACUAGCUACUUUUGUCACUAUUUAUCUUGCAUAUUUGAUUCAGAAUAAAUGGUAGAUCAUAAGGUUUUCGACCAUCUCGCAUAAAGGUAAGCGAGUAACUGUCUUUAUCUCUAUCUAUAUUGUCUAUUUGAUUCUACGCGGAUAGAGGAUUAUGAGAUUUUCGACCAUCUCGCAUAAGGGUAGGCGAGCGGCUGCCACUACUUGUCUUGCAUAUUUGAUUUAAAGCGAAUGGCGGAUAAUGAGGUUUUCAAUCAUCCCGCAAAAGGAUUCGUCACAAGUUUUGUUAAGAUUUGCAGCAAACAUUUUUGAGUAAAUUGCCAUACGUUGAUGAGAUAAGAUUAAGGGUACUUGGGGUACCCCAGGUCAGAAAGUCACUCUUCAAAUACACCAUGAAGGACCCUAAAAAGGCUCGAGGAGUGUAGAGAAUAAGUUCGCCUUUAUUGUUACGCCAAUUGUGGAUUUACAUGCUUUAUAAAUUUAUUGUGCCGAUACUUUAGUUAGCGAUAAGUGCUAAAAUCACCAUAAUCUCCCAAGAUUAACAGCAAGCAUAUCUAGAUGAGUCACCAUAUUGAUGAUGAAAUUGGGUUGCCCAAUCAUGAAGUAAAAGAUAGCUCAAUGAACAUCUAAACUUAAGGGUACCUAAGGUACCCCAUGUGCCUAGUCAAAUCUCAGAACGAGUCAAAGAAAUAACAUUUAAAGCUAUGGAACGUGUAAAUACCAUUACAUGCAAUAACAAAAUAAGAGGAGCUUGCUAGUACAAUAUUGAAGUAGUUCGGGUUCCCCGACAAAACAUUGUAAUACAUAUAUGAAGAAAAGAAUAAUUUCAAGUAUAUUUAGCAAGAUGUUUAUCUUCACCUCCAUCCAUUAGGAUAGAAGGAUCAAUAAAAGUGUUAGAAGUAGCAGAAACGCAAGCGUCAGUAUCAGGGGUACCUUAUGGUGACUUCAUCUGAGGUACCCCGCUGAUAUCCGUGAGCUUUCAAACCAAGAUGUUCUAGGAGCCCUGUUACUCUCAAUCGCCUUCAAGAUGGCCGACUUAUCUACCAAUUUCUCCAUUCUUGGCACCACCAGCCCCAGAUCAGCACUUCAUUCCUCGGUCAUAAUAUGUUUAAAGGCAUUGUUGACCAUGUCCUUUUGUCGAGGUACCAAGACUUUAAGCUUAGCUUAAAGCUCCUUAAGGUCUUUUACCUUACGGGCCUUCUCCUCGAAAACUUCAUCAAAACGUCUUUUCAAAGUCUUGUUCUCUAGAAAUAGCUUCUCUUCACGGGAUCAGGGCCCAUCUUUCUUUUUUGUAUAGUCGGGGUACCUUUGAAGCUGCAAAGAAAGAAGCCCUAUGAUUUUGUUUUCGUCCCUGAAGAACAUAAAGGAAAGGUACCCUAAAAUGAGGUGGAUCCUAAGGUACUCAAUGAACCAUUUCUCAAAUGUCUAAAGAAGGCAACGAAGUCCUCACCAAAGCGAUCUAUAUCUUGCAAUCACUAAAAAAUCAAAUAUGGGUAAUGGUAAGGUACCCCCACAACACCCUCUACCCAUAGUUGGUGGUUCGUCCUCAAAAGCAGAUGAAUAAUUUUGAUCAAUCAACUCCACCCUCUCCAACCUAUCCAAAUUGGUAGCCAUUUCUAAAGUGAUGGUCUUAGUGGUAUAAUAGACAUAUCUAGCCAGAUGGGAAAUCUUUUUGUUCGCUAUUGGAUCUAGAUCUUCUCCAAUGAAAUCCCCAGGCAAAGAGUAGAGGGAGUCUAUCUUCCUUUUUACGGUUCUGAAAGUACCCUUUGAGCUGCCAUCUUUUAGCUUGGUCCAUCCGCGUCAGCACUUUUACUGAGUAAGAGAUGAUGUAAUGUUUGAGUUUUUGGGUGACCUAGUUCACAUCUUAAGAUGUGAAGAGGCUAGGUACACCUUAUAGAAUGAGUGGUACCCGGGCCACCCAGGGAGCUGCUAUUAGUUUGGUUAAAAAAAAAAAAGACAAAGAGAAGAUUUCUUACUUGGAAAUAUAUAAGGUUUAGUCAGAAGAGAAACUAAGCAAGGCGAUCCCUAUUCAGCCGCCCAACAAGCCAAACUUCACAUCACCACAUGUCGUUUUUACUUAUGUGAGUUUCUUUUGCCUCUAAUAUUUUUCGCUAAAAACAAAAUUAGGGGGGAUGUUGUUUGGGGAGAAAUAGAAAAUUUGUAGUAGAACGCUAUGUGUCGAUGAGGCGCAAUGACUCUAAGUGAUCAUUGUACGCACCCGAGGUAUCCAACUUACACUAUAAAUGAGGAUACCUGAGGUACCCGACCUACACCGUAAACUCAGUACCCGAGAUACCCAACAGAUCAUAUGCGAAUUAAUCAAGGAAAAUCUCUAAAAAGUUAGUCACGAGAGACGUCUUCAUUGCCUAAAGGAUAAUAUUUGAUUUUUUGAAAAUCAAAUGUCAGAAUAUCAUGUUCAAAAAGUGGCGACAGCUGACUGUCACGUUUGUCAAAAAGUGAAGGACGCUGCACCAAGGACAGUGGUCCUCAGCUGCCCUGCUAGAAAAUCUCUACUGAGGUAUCUUGAACCACUCUCCAGUGUAUGUCAUGUGCCCAAAAGGAUAAGUUACGCCAUGAAUGCCUUCUUACUCCCCAAGCAUACUCUCAAUUGCCCAAAAACCUUUAAAAGGUAAAAGAAUAGCCAAUAACCAUUGGAAACAUGCCACUUGGCAGCUGGGGUACUCUAUAUACAAACGCGCUCAGGUUCUACUCUCAUCAUUCUACAUCAUACACACUCUACAAAAAGAAAGGCUAAGGUUCUUCAACCUUAAGCCAUUUUUUUAGAGGGCUGGCAAGCUUUUACCAUAAAAAAAAGCUUGAGUUACUGACCUGAGCGUUGGGCCACCCCGGCUCUACCUCUAACCUCUUUUUUAUUGUUUUGCAGGCUUAAAGCUUAUCUCAGUAGACCUCCCUUCUAGAUUUUGACCUCUCGCUGCCAUCACCAGCCUCCUACCCUCCUUACCUUUAUCGAAUCUCAGAAACAACACACACAACGACCUAGUGUAGUACCCUAAAAAACAAAUCUAUUGUUCUAGAUAGAUUUUUCCCUUUUCCUUUCCUUCAUAAUCUGUCUAAAACAAAUGGUAAGCCAACCCAAAACAAAAUGAAUGAAACUUAGCAACAGCCACUAUAUACAUCAGGAAUAUGAAGAAAAAAAAAAGUAAUGGCAGUCACUCAUGCCUAAAAAAUCAUCUUCUUCGUCAUCAUAAAACGUCUUCUUCUUUAUUGGUAGUGGUAAUAAUCAUUUUGUCCUGGAUAAAAAGGCUGCCAAAAUCAUUUCAUCAACAAAAACCUUCUUCUUCUUCACUAUGUUUUAAAAAUAGAUUAGAGAUGAAGAUUAAUUGGACAGAGAGAAAAAAAAAUAAUUAGAAUGAGAUAAUAGAGAGAGAGAGAGAGAGAGCGGUAUAUAUUAUCUCUAGUUAUUUGAAAUUUUGAAAUUUUAGAGGGAUAAUGAAAAGAGAGAAUUUAAUUUUUUUCAACAUGUAUCACUAUGUGUAUAAUUAUUAUCAGUCGGUGAUUCCAUAUCAAAUUGUGACGUGGAACCUUCUAUCUACCGUAGAAUUUUGCUAUCAUAAUUUAAUACAUAGCCAUCAUAUCAUUCACACCUCUUUUUUUUUUGGGUGAAAUUACACCUCUACUUGCUUGAUUGCCCAUAAAUUUUCCCCAUUAUGGAAGUUAGAAACUAAUAUUCGUUUAUUAAUUGGAUUUAGAUUAAAUGUUGAAUUGAUUUUCUUUAAUCUUUUACAAAAAUAUAAUUAGCAAUUAUUGGAUAAAAAUGUAAAACUAAUUAAAAGUUAACUGUAUAUUUCUAUAAACGCACAUGUAGUAAAAGAUUAUGAAAAGUUGAGUACAAGUUAACUCAAUAUCAUAUCCAAAUCCUUAUUAAAUUCCUUCCUAAAGUAACGGCCCAGCGGUCUUUUUAUGCCAAACUGCUUCCAAUUUGUCUUCAGUGCCACGUUCUAUGUCAACCUACUAGAGUAUUUGCUAAUAGUCAUUAAAUUAAAUACACACACACACACAUGUAUGUAUGUAUGUAUGUAUGUAUGUAUGUAUUCAAAAUUUCAAUGAUUUAACAAAGCCUUCCAGUGCAAAUUUGUUUCUCCUUUAAAUUUGUUUUCUCAAUCACAUUGUGCUAUAUGCAAUCAUUUCCUCUAUUCAUCAUCAUUUUUCCCCGCCUUAACUAGUUUCUCGAAAUUAGCUGCUCCUAGUAAUAGACAUCUUGUUUCCCAUACGAUUAUAUUUGCUAUUGUUUUAGUUUUUUAAAUUGUCAUUGUUGAAAAGUGAAGCUCAAAUCUAGAUUUCAGAAAACGCAUGACAAGUCGUUUUUUAUAAGUGCAUAUUUUCCAUAUAUUUUGCUAUUAAUUUCUCUAUCUUUUUCUUGUUUUGGUCUUAAAUAUUCUAGUUAUUUUAGUUAAUUUUUAAUUUAGUAAAUUAUAUUUUAUUAUGUUAAUUUUUAUAUUUUGUUAUUUUAGGUGCAUUUUGGGAAUAAAGAGGAAUUAAAUCAGAAUAUUCAAGUAAGGAGAGCUUAAAGAAGAAACUAAUUAGAAAUUUAAAGAAAGUAAUGGGAGUUAAAAUGGAAGAAAAUCAAAGCAGCCAAUGCCUAAUUGAAGUUCAUACGUGAAGAUGAGAAGAAUUAGCAUUGGAAAUAAUUUAAUUAAUAAGGCAAACACUUCUUGUGAUGGGCUUUGGCCAAAUUGUUAUUGGCUUAUUAAUUAAAUAUGUCACGUGCAUGGCAUUGAAUUAUGGAAAGCAAAGUCAAACAAAAAGGGAAAAUUGCCUUGCACGUGAAUCCAAAGAAAAGUGGGGGCUUGACUUUUGUCUUUAAUCCUUUUCAUGUGAGGAUUUAAGGCACAAUAUAAAAGAGGGCAGAUAAGGAAAAGAAAAGAAAAAAGCCAACAACCGCUGGAUGGAAAUAGAGGAGGGCAGACGCAAUUGGAGCAAGAGAAUUUGAGAUUGCAGCCGCAAGAAGGAAAAAAAACAAGGAAGACGCCAGAAGGAAUUCAAUUGAAGAAAAAAGGCAGCCGCUUGAAUUAAUCUCCAUGACUGGUUUUAUCAAUUCUCUUAUUCCCAAUUCAAUUAUGUUAGGCUAGAUUUUUAUUUGGUUGAGGGUGAAUUCAAAACCCUAAACAUGCUAUGCAAUUAAAUUUAAAUUCUAUCAUUCAAUUUAUUUAAUUGAGAUUGUUUAUGUUCUUCUAUAAUUAAUGUUCAUGGUUUAUUCUUGUUUUAUUUGAGUGGCCAAUUAGAUAGGACUUGAAUAAAUUUUAUUGCUAGAUUAAAAUUCUUGAUCCGUAAUUGUCUUAAUAUUUUAAUCAUUAGAAGCAGGUUGGAAUUAGUGAUUUCAAUUGAAGAACAUAACCUAGGUUAAAUAAUCCGAGCUUGUGUGUUUAUUGCCUAGAUCAACCUAAUAUCUUUCUAUGUUUAAUGCUUCCAUUAUCUUAAAUUUAAAGAGCUUGUUUUAAAUUAUUUAAUGGUUAGAGAUUAGGUGAAGAGCUUGUUUUGCCUAACAACACACUAAGGAAAGAUUGAGACUAACAGAGCUUAUUUUUGUCUACGGUUGAUAAUUUCAAUAUAAAUUGAUAAUAGAAUUGAUAUAUUAUGUGCAUGUUUGGUGGUGGCGAAUGAUCCUUUAACCAAACUGUUUAUCAUUAUUAUUUCUUUCUCAUUUAAUUAGGGUUUUUAUUAAAUUCUUGUUCGUAGUUUUAAUUUCUUUACUUCUUACUAUUUAGUUAAAAAUUCAUAAACCCCCUUUUAUUUUUAAUUGGCAUUUUCUUUAGUUAGAUUAAUUUAUAUCAUUAUUACUAUUACUAUUAUUUUAUUUUAAAUCUUGCUUUGGAGUUAAUAAUAAAUAUAACUAGCAUAGUCUCUGUGGGAUCGAUCCUUACUCGCUCUGUACUAAUUAUUUAUAUUAGUGGUAAGGUUUUAAAUUUGGUGCAGCUUAACGACACUACCAGUUUUCGUGAAGUUGAGAAAUUUGACAAGUUGUUCACAGGAGUACAACGUAUCAAUUGAGACAGAAUUGGAAGAGUAUGACAAUCAGUAUCUGUCAUUUUUCUGAUUAAGUGAAAUCAUAGGGUUUACCCAUUAUCUCACUUAAAUGUCAAAACUCAAAUGACAUGGAUGUAAGCUAUAUUGAAAGAGUAUUAAUUAGGACAUGUGUCAUAUAUGUGGAAGGUGGUUAAACUCAUUAAAAGAAAGAUUUUCUCUUUAAACCAAGAAACAUUAUUCUAGUAAGAUUAAGUGCUUCAUAUAGCCCUUGAGCAUCUAUUUAAAACCAUUACUACUGUGGUUUGUUUAACAAAGCACAAUAAAGAAUCUCUCUCUGUAACUUUUUUUUUACAAUUAAUAAAGUAGUUCUUCUGAUUUUUUAGUAGAUGUAGGCUGAGUAAUCACUUGAAUCACUAUAAAUACGUGUGUCUAAUCUUUGUUGCUUUGUUUCUUUUGAUUUCUUACUGUUUGUACAUAAUUAAACAUUAAUUGUUAAGUUCAUUAAUCAAUCUUUAACUAGGAUUAGAUUUUGGGAUGAUUGGUUUGGUAUACGUGUUGAGUGUUAGAAAAUGCAUAUUUAUAAAGGAGAAAACCGUCAUUUUACAUUUUAAGUCUUACUAACAACCCUUACUUUUAUAUAUUUAACCUUCUUGUGAUUUAAUUACAUGUGUUUUAUUUUAAUUAAGUAUUUUAUGUAUUUUAGGGGCAUUAUAGUCAUUUCACAAUAAAGGAGAGAUCAGACGGCAAAACGGACAUCACUUUUGAACUCAGGACGGUCGAAAACCUUAGGAGGAGCAUAAAAGGAAAAAUGGCACUAUUCACAUGUACGGUACUAUUCACGUGUACGGUACUGUAUACGUUACUGUUCACGACACUGUUCACAUAGACGGAUGAUGACGUGGCAUUGACCGAUGAUGUGGCAUUGACUGAUGAGGUGUCACGAUCCUGUUGGACUAAAAUUCUUAUGUACUGUUGAUGGUGACGUGGCAGCAUAUCAGUGGACGAAAAAUCUCGCGUACGGUGCAUGCAUCACACAGGAUUAUUUUCAACCAAACCGCGUUACUGUUCAUCCGGGUCAAACCGCGUUACUGUUCAAAGUCGGGUCAAACCGUGUUACUGUUCAUCCGCGUGGUCAAACCGUGGACUGUUGACUGAUGACGUAGCGCAAUCCUGAGCGUCCAAACUGUUUUUAAUCCGAUGGCCAUGAUUUACUCCAUGUAUCUAUAAAAAGGGGGCCUCCCCCCCUAAUUUGAUAUCUCUGAAUCCAUUUUUGGGAUCCAUUUUCUGUAAUUCCUUUUCCAUCUUGUAUUUUCUUCGUAUUUUAAUAAAUUUCCAUUUUGCCCCUAGUUCAAUUAUGAGUGGCUAAUUUUCUUUCAAGCUUGGGUUGAAGGUGAAGUCUCAACAUGUGUCAUGGGCUUAAUUUGGUAAAUUUACUUUCUCUUCCCCUCUAAUUUUUGUGGAUGUUUUGACUUCUCGUCGACAAAUAAUACUAAUCUUGUCUAGAUACCGCCUUGGUUACACCGGCUCUCUAGUAUAAGGUUAUUAUUAUUUGGCACGAUAAGCCCUUAGCACCAUAUUGAUUAGAGCGUGGUUCAUGAGGUGUGGAUUCCCCCCUCAUGAUUUAAUUGGCAUUAAUACAGAUUAUUUAGCCCAUGAUGCAUGUUGAUACGGAUCCAGAUACCCAAGUACGUCAAUUUAAUAGAUUUUCUCUUCAAUUUAUUCUCUCCAUUGCAAUUCCAAUUUUAGAAUUUAUUCUCGCCAUUUUAAUUUAAGUAUUAGCAUAUUCCAAAUCAUUUCCCCCAUAAAUCCAACUACCCAUUUACAAAAUUAAUUCUAUAUAUAAUUAAAAUCCACCUCCUCGUGGGAUCGACACUCGUCACCAUUAGUCUAUACUACAAUAGAUUCGUGCGCUUGCGAGUACAUUAAAAUUUGCACAACAAGUUUUUGGCGCCGUUGCCGGGGAGGUAAGUAAUUUUAAUUCAUAGAAUUAAUUUUUGUGAAUAAUUUCUUUUAUUUGUUUUCUUGUAUUUUUUUUUAUUAUUAAAAAAAAAAGAAAAAAAAGUGAAUCUACAUUUAAAGGUUAGUAUUUCUUUUCUUUUUCUCUUCUUUAAAAUUUUGUAAUUUAAUUUUCCAUUUAUUUUUCUUUGUAAUUUUUUUUUUGUUUAUCUUAUUAAUUUAAUUUUUAGUUAAUUUCUUUCACGUAUUUAUUUUUGUGUAUUUUUAUAGAAAGGUUGUAAUAGCGCAAUAAGGUUAGUAUCGUAAUUUCUCACUCUUCUUUAUUUUUAUUUGUUUUGUUCCCAUCUUUAUUUUUUGUUUUGUUUGCAUCUUUAUUUUUAUUUUAUUUGUUUUGUAUGCAUGGUCGUAGGUCAUUAUUACCUAAUCUUGAACCUAUAGACCUUGAAUUAGAAAAAACACUUCGCACACACAAACACGUUAAAAAUAAAAUGGAUUUACAAGCACCACAGGAGAGGCCAUUUAAGGACUAUUUUAGUCCCUUAGCUAAUUUGAGCACGUCAUGCAUAAGAUACCCAAAUGUAGCUGCUAGGAGUUUUGAAUUAAAACCUAGUGUGUUAAAUUGUCUCCCUACAUUUUAUGGCCUAGAAAAUGAGGAUCCAUAUAAUCAUUUGAAUGAUUUUCAUACCAUUUGUCAAACAUUCAAAUAUGAGAAUUUUUCAGAUGAUGAUGUUAAACUUAGACUAUUCCCAUUUUCUUUAAAAGAUAGAGCUCGUUCAUGGCUUAAUACAUUGCCUGCUAAUAGCAUUGCAUCAUGGGAACAAAUGGUUACAAAAUUUUUAAAUAAAUAUUUCCCAGUGCAUAAAACCAAUGCUAUUCGCAGGGAAAUCUCAGAGUUUACCCAGAAAGAUGACGAGCAAUUUUUCGAAACAUGGGAGCGAUUCAAUGGGCUACUCUUGAAGUGUCCACAUCAUGGGUACGAGAAAUGGCACCAAUGCCAAUACUUUUUGGAGGGAUUACUACCAAAUGUGCAAGAAUGGCUAAUGGCAACAAGUGGAGGAGAGCUAAUGUCAAAAAGUGCAUCAGAAAUUUGGGAAUUCUUCCAGCGACAAGCGGAUAAUUCCCAACAACGGAGUCGAUCACUCAGGAAUACUAGACGAAUUAAGGGAGUAAAUGAGGUUCAAAUUGGCGAGUCAACUUCGGGAAUCAAAGAAGUCAAGGAGAUGGUUGAAGGUCUUGCUCGACAAAUAGCAUCGUUAUCGACUGCUAAAUCAACAGAACCACAUGACCAUGACUCAUACUCAGAUCAAGCCAAUGCCAUAGGUGUAAUGAGAAAGCCAUCAAAUUACAACCCAUACUCCAACACAUAUAACCCUGGAUGGAGAGACCACCCCAAUUUUUCAUGGUCUCAAGGAUUCCAACAGAAUGGACCAGCAGCUCCAGCUCCACCAAUGCAACAAAUUCCUCAAGUUCCUCAAGCCUCUCAGCCCCCAUUCAGACCAUACAAUCAGAACCAGAACUACUCUCAACCCAGACCAUGGGAGGAUGCAUUCCAAAAUUUCAAGAAUGUUACUCACUCCACGAUUGAGCAACAGAAUCGCACCAUUGAUGGACUACGAAAUGAAUUGAGAGCAGGCUUCAACUCACAAGCUCAAUCAGUUUCAAGCCUGGAGAAGAUGGUGGGACAACUCGCUUCUUCAGUUCAGACCUUGGCAAUGACUGUUGAGAAAGGAAAAUUUCCAAGUCAACCAGUGCCUAAUCCGAAAGGAGUGCAUGAAGCGAGUACCAGUUCACCACAGCAGCAUGGAGAGGUCAAAGCAAUAAUGACCUUGCGAAAAGGAAAAGAAAUCGACAACAAAGUGGAGAUGCCGGUGACAAAGGAAAAUCAAAUUGUACCUGUGAAUGUUGAAGACUCAUCACCGGAGGAGAAAGAAGAAACCAACCCACGAGAAUACGUUUCGAAAGCUCCAUUUCCUCAAAGGUUAGCGAAAGGAAAGAAGGGAAAAUCCACAGGUGAGAUUCUCGAAAUCUUCAAACAGGUAAGUGUUAAUAUCCCUUUGCUUGAUGCUAUUAAACAAGUUCCAUCUUAUGCCAAGUUUCUUAAAGACCUUUGUACUAAAAAGAGAAAUAUGCAUGUUCAAAAGAAGGCAUUUUUAACAGAAAACGUUAGUUCUAUACUCCAACAUAAAAUUCCUUUAAAAUGCAAAGACCCAAGCUCCCCCACUAUCUCAUGUAGUAUAGGGAACCACACAAUUGAGAAUGCUUUGUUGGAUUUAGGAGCUAGUGUAAAUCUGUUACCUUAUUCAGUGUUUGUGAAACUUGGACUGGGAGAAUUACACCCAACUCCAGUGGUGUUACAACUUGCAGAUCGGUCCACAAAAAUACCUCGUGGUAUUGUGGAGGACGUGCUUAUCCAGGUAGACAAAUUUUAUUUUCCUGUUGACUUCAUUGUAAUUGACACUCAACCAAUACAGGAUUCAAGGAAGCACAUCCCCAUUAUUCUAGGCCGACCUUUCUUGGCAACGGCGGAUGCUCACAUUCAAUGUAGAACUGGAAAUAUGCAGUUGUCCUUCGGCAACAUGACUAUGGAGCUGAAUAUCUUCAACAUUGCCAAACAACCUCACAGUGCAGAUGAUGGAAUUGUUGAUGUGGAUUUAAUCGAAGCAUUAGUUGAUGACACUUUUCUUUCAAACCUUAGUGAUGAUCCUUUACAAACAUGUUUAACUCACUUUGGUUUUGAUUUUGAUAUUGACAGAUCGGUUGAUGAGGUCAACGCCCUGCUUGACUCAGCACCAUCUAUGGACACUAAUAAAUGGAAAUCAAGAGUUGAGCAACUAGCACCAUCAGAGAAGCAACUCAUUCCAUCAUCAGAAUCACCACCGAAACUCGAGCUCAAACCAUUGCCCAACACUUUGGAAUAUGCGUUUUUGGGAGAAGAAAGUACUCUACCGGUAAUCAUCUCAGCAUCCCUCAAUGACGAACAAAAAGGUAAGUUGUUGGAUGUUUUAAAAGAGCACAAAGGGGCAUUAGGAUGGACCAUAGCAGACAUUAAAGGUAUAAACCCAGUAGACUGCAUGCAUUACAUUCACCUUGAUGAAAAUGCUAAAACUACUAGGGAGAUGCAACGUCGGUUAAAUCCUAACAUGAAAGAAGUUGUUAGAACUGAAGUCCUUAAGCUAUUAGAUGCAGGUAUCAUUUAUCCAAUUUCUGAUAGUUCAUGGGUCAGUCCUGUACAAGUUGUCCCUAAAAAGUCAGGAGUCACAGUAGUUACCAAUGCUGAUAAUGAAUUGAUACCCACUAGAGUGACUACAGGAUGGCGUGUAUGCAUUGAUUAUAGAAAAUUGAAUUCUGUCACACGUAAAGACCAUUUUCCUUUACCAUUUAUUGAUCAAAUGCUUGAUAGAUUAGCAGGCCAUGAAUUUUACUGCUUUCUAGAUGGUUACUCAGGAUAUAAUCAGAUUCCCAUAGCACCAAAAGAUCAAGAGAAAACUACUUUCACUUGCCCUUUUGGCACAUUUGCAUAUAGGAGAAUGCCAUUUGGAUUAUGUAAUGCACCUGCUACAUUUCAACGAUGCAUGUUGAGCAUUUUUUCUGAUAUGGUUGAACGAUUCCUUGAAGUCUUUAUGGAUGACUUUUCUGUCUUUGGCAACUCGUUUGAUCAAUGUUUACAUCAUCUAACACUAGUUCUGCAGAGAUGUAUCGAGAAGAACUUGAUCUUAAAUUGGGAGAAAUGCCAUUUUAUGGUAAAACAAGGUAUUGUUCUUGGUCACAUCAUUUCGAGCAAAGGUAUUAAGGUUGACAAAGCCAAGGUGGAUCUCAUUUCUAAUCUUCCUCCACCUAAAACAGUCAGAGAAGUAAGAUCUUUCCUUGGGCAUGCUGGUUUCUAUAGACGUUUCAUUAAAGAUUUUAGCAAAGUUUCUAGACCCUUAUGCAAUUUACUUGCUAAGGAUGCACCUUUUGUCUUUAAUGAUUCAUGUCUUAUGGCAUUUGAAAAAUUAAAGCAUUUGUUGACAUCAUCACCCAUCAUUCAGCCCCCAAACUGGAGCUUACCAUUUGAGCUCAUGUGUGAUGCAUCUGACUAUGCAGUAGGAGCAGUAUUAGGACAAAGAGUUGAUCGAAUUCCUCAUGUUAUUUACUAUGCUAGUAUGACAUUGAAUGAUGCACAGUUGAACUAUUCAACUACUGAAAAAGAAAUGCUAGCAGUAGUGUUUGCAUUGGAAAAAUUUCGAUCUUAUCUCAUUGGUUGUAAAAUAAUUAUAUUCACAGAUCAUGCUGCUCUUAAAUAUCUUCUCACAAAGAAAGAUGCAAAAGCUAGACUAAUUCGUUGGGUGUUACUUUUGCAGGAGUUUGACUUGGAAUUCAAAGAUAAGAGAGGGACAGAAAAUGUUGUGGCGGACCACCUCUCUCGUCUCCAUUUUGACACAAUUACAGAAUCAUUACCAUUGAAUGAGUCAUUUCCAGAUGAACAAUUAAUGAAUGUGGAAGUAUUACCUUGGUAUGCUGAUAUAGUUAAUUAUCUUGUUACAGGUAAACUUCCAGAGCAUUGGACCAAGCAAGACAAGGCUAAAUUCUUUGCAGAGAUAAAGAAUUUCUUUUGGGAUGACCCGUAUUUGUUCAAGUAUUGUGCAGACCAAAUUGUUAGACGAUGUGUCCCAGAAAGUGAAAUUCAGAAUAUCCUUUCAUUCUGCCAUGAACAAGCUUGUGGAGGCCAUUUCAGUGCUAAGAAAACCGCGACUAAAGUUUUACAAUGUGGUUUUUAUUGGCCAACUAUAUUUCGAGAUGCUUACACUUUCUGUUCUUCAUGUGAUAGGUGUCAACGAAUGGGGAGCAUUACGCGAAGGAACAUGAUGCCACUAAAUCCAAUUUUAGUGGUUGAGAUUUUUGACGUAUGGGGUAUCGACUUCAUGGGACCUUUUCCCCCGUCUUUUGGUCAUCAAUACAUAUUGGUUGCUGUUGACUAUGUAUCAAAAUGGGUAGAAGCAAUUCCAUGUAGGACCAAUGAUCACAAGGUGGUGAUAGCAUUUUUGAAAAGCAAUAUUGUUUCACGCUUUGGAUUCCCUCGAGCGAUAAUCAGUGAUGGUGGUGCCCACUUUUGUAACAAAGCAUUCAAAGCUCUUUUGACAAAGUAUUCAAUCACACACAAAGUGGCGACCCCGUAUCAUCCGCAAACCAGUGGCCAAGUUGAGAUCUCCAAUCGAGAAAUAAAGCACAUAUUAGAAAAAACGGUGAGGCCGGACAGAAAAGAUUGGUCAUUAAGACUUGAUGAUGCCUUAUGGGCAUAUAGAACGGCUUUCAAGACCCCGAUUGGGAUGUCACCCUACAGGCUAGUGUAUGGAAAAGCUUGCCACCUACCUGUGGAACUCGAGCAUCGUGCAUAUUGGGCCAUCAAGAAAUUCAAUUUUGACAUGCAGCAAGCCAGCUCAGAAAGAAGAUUACAGCUGGCAGAACUUGAAGAAAUUCGCAAUGACGCGUACGAAAAUGCCAAGAUUUACAAGCAACGAAUGAAAGUCUUCCAUGAUAAGCAAAUUAUGAGAAAAUCGUUCACUCCAGGUCAGAAAGUGCUUUUAUUCAAUUCUCGCUUGCACCUAUUCCCAGGUAAGUUACGCUCUCGUUGAUCUGGCCCAUUUAUUGUUCAUACUGUUUUUCCACAUGGGGCAAUUGAAAUUAAAGACCCAAAGAAUGGUGUCACGUUUAAAGUUAAUGGUCAAAGAUUAAAGCCAUAUCUAGAAUACCAAUCACAUGGAGAAGACACCGAAAUAAAUUUGAGUGACCCACCAGAUUUGAAUUGAAUUUUUUUUUUCUUUUCAUUGAUUUAAUUUUUUUUUGCUACUUGAAAUUAUUUUUGCAUAAGUGUGUUUGUUUAACUAUUAAGUUUUCUUUUAUCGUUUUUAAUCAUGAGUACCUUACUUAGACCGUUCCUCCUGAAUAUUCUUAAACCACUUCAACGUGUCAAAACUCAUCUCAAAAGACAAAUUCAAUUUUGUAAAACACAACGCAUUUGGGCUCUACAACCACCAGAGUUAGUAGCCUAUGUUGAGGGUUUAGAACGCCAACUCCGAGACAUUGAGAGAAGUGUUUACGACAUCCAGUUGGAGCUUGAGGUAAAUUCAAUAAGAGGACGAUUUUAAUUUUCUUUGUGUGUUUUAAUUUGUUUUUCUUUUUGUGUGCUUUAGUUUGUUACCCCGGUGAAGUGGCGGAUAACGGUACUCCGUGACAAUCAAGUCGGUUACUUCAGUUUCCCAUAAUAACUGAUAUUCUGAGGCGAAGGUAUGGACAGAAACGAGAUUCUAGCGAAGCUUCACAAGCGAUUCCCUUCACUUCCUCAGAAUGCCCUCCUUACGAUCUAUAAAGCUCGGUCCGAACGCAUGCGAUUACUCAUGAGGAAUAACAUACCUGCUGACAUCCGUUGGUUAAUCGAGGCUAAAGUACGAUCGGCAGGUGAGUUACCUCCAAAAUUUAUUGCAUACAUGCCUGGUUGUGGUAAAGGAAAUUAUGCAAGAAAACGACGAGCUCGAAGAAUUUCUGUUGCUUGUCAUAAGUGUGCCAGAAUGAGUUGCAAUAAAAACCCAUGUUCUUUAGGAAUGGUGUCUGAUAACAGGGAAGAUAAGAUUCAAUUCAUUAGGGAUGGCUUGAAUAAGGAGUCAUUGGAUGAUAUCCUUUUGUCUCUUGAAACGCAUUCCAGUGGAUAUGUGCAAGGAGCGAUUCUCCAGUUAUGGCCAUUAUUCCAGAAAGAGCAUGCACGAUAUAGUCUCGGGAAUCUGACUAUAAACGACCUUGUUUGCCUGUUUAUAAGAAAACUGGAUGGGAAGCCUAUCCUCGACCCAUAGAGGGCGUUCAAGCCGUUUCUGGACGUAAAACCAGAGGAAGAUGUGAGCCACAGUCGCAACUACGUGUAAAUAUCCUUUUACUUUACUGUUAUUUUCUUUCAUUUCACUGUUGUUUUAUUGUUUGCAUUAUUGUCUUUAAUAAUUUUAUUACUGUUUGCUUUUUCCUUUUUACUGUUUUCUUUUUGACUCGCGAGCCAUGUGCUUCAUGCGUUAUUUGACACUAACAUGUUACCUCAUUCACAGCUGUGACCCACUAUCACCAAGACUCUUAAAUGUGAUUUCUUUUGUCAAACACUCACAAAUUGUUUUUGAGAAAUAUUCCAAUGUCAGCUACUCCCAAUAGACAAUUCAAGAACAUUUGUGUGCUUUCUGGAUUUACAUAUGGCAAACAUAAAGAGUUCGUUGAGGCAGCCAUAGAUCUUGGUCGAAGCAUAGCAGCGAGAAAUUUACAUUUGGUGUAUGGAGGAGGUAACCGAGGGUUAUCAAAAAUGGUCUCCGAAGCAGCUUUUAUCAGAGGAAGUCAAGUGUUAGGCAUCAUCCCAAGAGUCUUAAAACCAUUGGGCAGUUCGUCUGACUCAUCAACUGGAGAAGAGUUAGUCGUCUCAGGUAUGCAAGAAAGAAUAACUGAAAUGCUUAAUCAUGCUGAUGCUUUUAUUUUCCUUCCAGGAGAUCUUGCAACACUAGAGGCACUUAUCACGCUAGCAUCUUGGGCCCAUCUGCACAUCCACCAAAAACCCAUCGGUUUGUUAAAUGUCAAUAACUUUUAUGAUGGCUUUAUCGCAUUUCUUAACCAUGCAAUAAAAAACUAUUUCAUUCCCGCUAAUGUGAAAAAACUCUUUAUUUGUGCUCACACUGCUAAUGAGCUACUUGAUCUGUUACAAGCGUAUAAACCGGAGCCAGACCCCUGGACCUUUGUGUUGGAGCGCCCAAAUAAUGAUGGUAACAGUAGCAGCAGUAAGAAGUACAAAUUAGAUUUAACUCUCCGCCUGUAAAUAUUUUCUUCUGUGUUGCACCACCCAGGUGAUGUCUUCUAAACUCUACUUCUUUCAUUUCAAACAUUGAGGACAAUGUUUCGUUCUGGUUGGGGGGAGGGAAUAGUCGACAAUUAUGAAAUUUUGAUUAAGUUUUUACUAAUUUUUUGUUGUAGAAACUAACUGUUGCUAACUUUUUGUGUUGAAGAUGGCUGAAUAUGGAGUGUAGUGACUCUAGAAACGCAUCUUCAUCGUUUAAAAAAAAAAUUAAAAAAAAAAACUUAAAAAAAAAAUUAAGACAUUUUCUUUUUUCUUUAUUAUGUGUUUAUGUUUAUUUUUCUUCUUUUUAAUUUAUCCUCUAUAAAAAUGCAUUUUCCAACUUUUGAGUCGAAGAUGGCUGAAUAUGGAGUGUAGUUCCUCUAGAAACGCAUCUUCUUUAAAAAAAAUAAUAAAAAAAUCAUUUUCUUUUCUAUCAUUUUAAAUGUAACUUUUCUAAAUUAAUUUUUCUACAUCAUUUUCACAUUUCUGCAUGCAUAUUUUUUUUUUUUUUAUGUUUAGAAUAGGUUGGGGGGUAGAAUGUUUUUUUUUUUUAAAAAAAAAAAAAUUUUUGAUUUGUUUGGGUGACAUGAUUAAUUUAAAUUUUAGUAUUUGUAUUAUCUUUGGUCUUAAGUGAUGUUACAUUAUGUUUGCUACUCUACAUGUUGAUGUUGGAGACAUAUAUGAGUUGCUUGAAGGAAUGAACAUGUCAUAAUAAGUACCAAGUGAGUUUUUGAGCCUAUCAUUUUUCUUGGAGAGUAACCCUUUUGCCCAUUCUUUAUACAGCUUAACAGUUUAUUAUUGUAUACACGAUCUCUAGAUUUCUUUUGAGUUAACCCUUAAUAAAAAAAAAAAAGUGUGUUGCUACAUUUGGAGGCCCAUCUAACUAGUAGAUAUGGAAGGUUAUUCAGAGCCCUAAAAGACGAUGGAAAGGCCAUCUUUGAUCCGUUUGAGCCUUUCUAGCCAUCCUUUUUAUUAAAUAUCCAUAGUUAACCCUUUUGAGCCUUUAAAAAAAAAAAAAACAUUUUCUUUGUCAACUUAUCAUCUUGACCCACUCCAAUUUGGAGUAUUACCCGAUGUCUUAUAAGUUCCAUCACCUAUUUAUGUUUGAGAAAAUGUAAAUAAUUAUGUUGUUCAGUGAAGUUAUGCCAAAAAAAAAAUAAAAAAAAAACAAAAACAAAAACAAAAACAAAAGUUGUUGUUUCAAAAGAAUAAAAAUAGGUGAAAUCCACCUUGCAACUUCCAAAAAAAAAAAAAAAAAAAAAAAUUCUCUGCAUUUUUCUCAAACAUACACUUUGUUUUCCUUAUUUCCCUUCUUUGUUAACCAUGUCCCUAGCCUACGUUACGUCCUAAUAAAAGUCCUUCUUGAUUUUAGGGAACUAUAGUCCGAAGUAGAAGCUAGUUAUAUGGGCUAAAAAGAUGUAGUGAUGCAUAAUUAAAAAAAAAAAAAAAGAUAAAUAAAGUGGGUUGACUAACAUUUUAUUUGACUUGAGAUCGUAUUAUUUCUAAGCUGAGGGCAUAUUUAUUUCAUCUUGGUGAGAGCAUGUGAUAUCACUUCUUUAUUAUUUUCUCUCUCAAUUACCAUUCAUUGGAGUGACUAUUUUUAUUGGGAUUAAUUUAUUUGUGAGAGUGUCACUACUUCCAGUGAGAUUUUGGGGUUUGACAUGUCAUUCUUGAGAGUAGCUAAAACAAAGUCUACUGGGCUAAUUCACGUGGAUGGUUGAUGUGGGUGUGAUGUUGCUUUAGACUGGAGAUAAUGCUUAUACUUUUAUUUGAUUGCUAUCAUUAAUCUGAUGGAAUAAAUACGAGUGUUUCUAUUAAAAAAAAAUAUAUUUUGAAUUUGAAUUUUAUUUUCGCUUUAUUUGCUAGGGACUAGCAAUAAGCUGGUUGGGGGGUGUGUUGAGUGUUAGAAAAUGCAUAUUUAU